rnacentral:lncRNA from 1 species
CACUUAAAUAUCCAAAUAAGCCGGCGCCCCGAGAGCAAUGCUCGACCAGGGACCUUACCUCCGGCAAUUUACACAAAUCAGCCCAGAGAGCCAUGCUCGACCAGGGCAAACCCAUAAAUAUCUUAUUACAUGUCCAUGAUCAUUACCGGUGUGCACGCGGUCCUGAUGUAACCCAUCAGGCGGCAUGUUCUACAAGCCACAUUUCCCAAUUCGCAAUCAUCACAUAUAAUAAAUAUCAUUAUCUGAUGAACUCAACCAACACAUAUCGAAAUAAAGAUUAAAGAUUUAAGGUAAAACAACGUGCAAUUUGUGAGGAGAAAAAUAAUAAUGUUUAUCUUAUUAUAACAUACUAAUAAUAAUAUUUAUAUUAUUUCAAAUAUUAAUAAUCAAGUGAAAUCAUUUAUUUUGCGAUACUAAUAAUCAUAUUAAGCACAAAUUCUAAAUAGCAUAUUAAAAUCAGACUAGCAAUAGCGCAAAGAUUAAAUGACUUUAACUCACAGAUUUGAUGCGUUCCACAGUCGCUNNNNNNNNNNNNNNNNNNNNNNNNNNNNNNNNNNNNNNNNNNNNNNNNNNNNNNNNNNNNNNNNNNNNNNNNNNNNNNNNNNNNNNNNNNNNNNNNNNNNNNNNNNNNNNNNNNNNNNNNNNNNNNNNNNNNNNNNNNNNNNNNNNNNNNNNNNNNNNNNNNNNNNNNNNNNNNNNNNNNNNNNNNNNNNNNNNNNNNNNNNNNNNNNNNNNNNNNNNNNNNNNNNNNNNNNNNNNNNNNNNNNNNNNNNNNNNNNNNNNNNNNNNNNNNNNNNNNNNNNNNNNNNNNNNNNNNNNNNNNNNNNNNNNNNNNNNNNNNNNNNNNNNNNNNNNNNNNNNNNNNNNNNNNNNNNNNNNNNNNNNNNNNNNNNNNNNNNNNNNNNNNNNNNNNNNNNNNNNNNNNNNNNNNNNNNNNNNNNNNNNNNNNNNNNNNNNNNNNNNNNNNNNNNNNNNNNNNNNNNNNNNNNNNNNNNNNNNNNNNNNNNNNNNNNNNNNNNNNNNNNNNNNNNNNNNNNNNNNNNNNAUCUGCAAUAACAAAAUCUAGAAGCGGAAAUCAACAUGAUUUCAAAAGAUUUUCAAAUCAAUAAAAAGCUUUUACAUGAAGAUUUCUAUUCAAAGAAAAACCAUUCUAAAAAAUUUUAAUUUUUUAAGCAUUUUUUACAAGAAAAUGACAGUAUUUAACAGAGAUACUAUCAAUUUUGCAUAAAAAAACAAGAUCCAAAUCAAAUUCCUUAUGGAGAGAAUAAAAUAGAGGCUACACCUUACAAAUUAAUAGGAGAAGAUCUUGAGAAAAAUGUCAAGAAUAUUGUUCAACAGAAUAAUUUCUCGAAUACCUAUCUUAACACAAUAGAGAAGCAGCUUGUUAGGAUAGAAAGUCAAAUCCAAAAACCUCCUGUAGUCUUCACCUCUCCAAUCCCCAACACUGAUCAUCCAAAAGAGAUAAGCCAAUCAGAAAAACUCAAAAAUCCAGUCUUCAAACAUAUAUAUAUAUAUAUAUAUAUAUAUAUAUAUAUAUAUAUAUAUAUAUAUAUAUAUAUAUGUAUGUAUGUAUGUAUGUAUGUAUGGAUGUAUGGAAGCAUGUGAAAAGUGAGACUUAAUAAUAAAGACAAAAAAAUCUUGAAAGUAAUUAUUAAGUUAACAAAUGAUAUAAUUUAUGAAAUCAUAUCAUGACUCUCCACUAUGCAAGGUUAUAAGAGAUUUAUAUGAUUUAUAUCUUUAAUAAUCUUGUUAAGCAUGAUUUAUUGUUAAAUAUAUGCACUUAUUAAUUCUCAAGAAUAGCUUUGAACUUGAAAGAAUUAAUAAAAUGUAUAUAUGUUUAUUGAAUAUAGGAUAGAACUUGAGGUCCAAUAUACUAAUUACUACAAAGAUUAGAUUGGAUGGUACAUGAGAUGCACAUAAAUAAGAGUUAUUUAUUAAAUUUUAAUAUAUCAAGAUUGACGUAUGAACCUAAAGUAGGUUAAAAUUCUAGGAUCUAAUCACUCACUAGAAUUCAAUCCAACAAGAAUUUUUGUUACUCAUUUUAGAAGUGUGAGUGGUGCCAAAUUAGUAGGAUAUUAANNNNNNNNNNNNNNNNNNNNNNNNNNNNNNNNNNNNNNNNNNNNNNNNNNNNNNNNNNNNNNNNNNNNNNNNNNNNNNNNNNNNNNNNNNNNNNNNNNNNNNNNNNNNNNNNNNNNNNNNNNNNNNNNNNNNNNNNNNNNNNNNNNNNNNNNNNNNNNNNNNNNNNNNNNNNNNNNNNNNNNNNNNNNNNNNNNNNNNNNNNNNNNNNNNNNNNNNNNNNNNNNNNNNNNNNNNNNNNNNNNNNNNNNNNNNNNNNNNNNNNNNNNNNNNNNNNNNNNNNNNNNNNNNNNNNNNNNNNNNNNNNNNNNNNNNNNNNNNNNNNNNNNNNNNNNNNNNNNNNNNNNNNNNNNNNNNNNNNNNNNNNNNNNNNNNNNNNNNNNNNNNNNNNNNNNNNNNNNNNNNNNNNNNNNNNNNNNNNNNNNNNNNNNNNNNNNNNNNNNNNNNNNNNNNNNNNNNNNNNNNNNNNNNNNNNNNNNNNNNNNNNNNNNNNNNNNNNNNNNNNNNNNNNNNNNNNNNNNNNNNNNNNNNNNNNNNNNNNNNNNNNNNNNNNNNNNNNNNNNNNNNNNNNNNNNNNNNNNNNNNNNNNNNNNNNNNNNNNNNNNNNNNNNNNNNNNNNNNNNNNNNNNNNNNNNNNNNNNNNNNNNNNNNNNNNNNNNNNACAUACAAAAUAUGUAGCCCACUUAGCGGCAUAUUAGAUGCGAGCAAGUUUACUAGGUUAAAUUUUUUAGAUUGGCCAAAAAAUUUAAGAAUUGUUCUUAAAUUUGAGAGGAUUAAAUAUGUUCUGGUUACUCCUAUGCCCUUUUUGCCAGAAGAGGCAAGUGAAGAUGAGGGGGAUACUCAAGAAAAAUGGAAAAGAUGAUGAAAUCCAAGCUAUCUAUUAUACCAUGGCAUCUAUGAGUUUAGAACCCUAAAGGCAAUAUAAUAAGAUGAAGGGAGUUGCAAAUAUAAUUCUUCAUCUAAAAGAAUUAUAUAGUGAGACAAGUAGGAUCGCUAGAUAUAAGAUAUCUAGGCAGUUGUUUAGGUCCAAAAUGUUUGAGGGCGCUGAUAUUGAAGAUCAUGCUCAAGAUAAUUGGUUAUAUUGAAGGACUUGAGAACCUGAACUUUAGCAUGGAUGAGAAUCUACAGACAUAUUUGAUUCUUCAAUCCCUUCCAGAAUCAUUCUCACAGUUCAUUGUGAACUUCUACAUGAACAAAAUAUCUCUCUUCCUAAGCUUCUAAACAUGCUAACCACAACAUCUAAAGAUAUGCAGGGUAAGGGUAAAGAGACUGUCCUUGUCCAUGGUUCAACUUUUAGUUCCUCUAAAAAGAGAAAGAAGAAGAAUAAGGGAAAGGCAACUACUUCUCAUCCAAAGCCUUUUAGAGGAGUAUCAAAGGAUAAGGGCAAGGCUAAAGCAAAUGGCAAUGUAAAGUGUUUCUUUUGCAACAAAGAAGGUCAUUGAAAAAGGAAUUGCACAGAGUAUCCCAAAUACUUAAAGGUCAAGGGUAAGGGAAAGGAUGUACCUUUAGAUGGUAUGCACGUCUCUUGCUUUACAAAUUCUUCUAAUUGCUCAUUAUCUUUUUUGAAUAUUUAUAUUCAAAUGCUUCAUAUAAUUUAUGUGCAUUUGUGCAGGAUUUGAGAAGUAGUAUAAUCUUUGCGAAUGAUGAGAUGAUCUUAAAGGUUGGAAAUAGGAAAAUGGAUGUUGCCAAUGCCAUCGGAUGUGCAUCUAUUAGCUCGCCCCCUUAUCAUUCUUUAUUUUUGGACAAUUGUCUUUUUAUUCUAAAUGUUUACAAAGACAUUAUUUCUAUUUAUAGUUUGACAAAAAAUAGGUUAUAUUUAUACAUUUAAGAAUAAUGUUUAUAAUUUGCAAUUUAGAAAUGAAUCGGACAACAUUGGUUUAUUGUAAAAUGGUUUAUUUUAUUUGCAAUUGAAACAUGCUAAUGGAAUUCACUAAAUAUGAAUCUAAUUAAAAAUAUGUAUGGCAUUUAAAAUUAGGACAUAUUGCACAAGAUAUGAUUAAUAAGGUAGCUAGUUUGGGCAUAUUGAACCUAAUGGAUUCAAUCCCCAUUCCAACUUAUGAAUUUUGUGUUGAAGGCAAAAUGACGAGGAUUCCUUUUGUUGGACAAAGGGAAAGGGCCAAAGGUAUUUUAGAUCUCAUAUAUAGUGAUAUAUGUGGACCAUUUAUUAUAAUAGCUAGAGGAGGGUAUUUCUACUUCAUAACCUUUAUUGAUUAUUACUCGCGGUAUUGGUUAUGUAUACUUAAUGAAACAUAAGCAUGAAUCUUUUGAAAAGUUUAAGAAUUCAAGGCAAAAGUAUAUCAGAAAAGCUCAGGCCAUCUAGUCUAUCUCCCGAGUAGCCUUGGGUACAAAACUCCGGUAGCGGCGGGGGAUGCUCUAGUAAUCCAGGCAAUAAGUGUUCUUGCGCAUCGGCAAGAAGCCCAAUAAGUCAAUGAUGAACUGGUCUGAGACAUCGGACUACUGAUUGUGAAUAGUAUCAUUGAAAGGUAUGGGGGUACCUAUGAAGUCAACCCCCAUUAUAGCAAUAAAAGAAAGGGGAGAUAGGGCCGGCUCAGCAAUCGAGGUGUGAAAGGUGUGAGUGGUGUCCAUCCACCUCUCGAGCAGUGCGUAGACUGAACUAUGAUCAGUCCUCCAAGUGAUGGAUGGAAAGUUAGCAAUGAACCGUUGGAACUUGGUAUCGCCAAUCUGAGCCUGCACUGAACUCGAUAGGUCAUCAAACCACUCACGACCACCAUAGAAAUUUUCAGCGAAUCGGAUCGACACAACGUCGCUCUAAAAAGCAUAAAAACAUAUGUAAAGAGACAAUAAACAUAUACCGAGACCUGAAACAAGUAUGUUAUUUUUUUAUAGUUAUUUUGCAUCAAAACACCUUAAAAAUUGAUUUCUAGCCUGUGCACACUCGAUUCAGGCUGUGCAGAACCGAUCUGCUCAACAUAAAGUUGAUAGACUCUGUGGGUUAGGCCAUAAAAGUUUUUCAAAUUUUUUACAACUUUUCAUAUAUUUUGAGUAAUUAAUCCAUGUAUCUAGUAUUUAGAUCAUAGGAAAUAGUAUGUAAGGCAAGAAAAAUACCUCUUCGACCGCCGAAAACGCUCAAUAUAUGUUCAAUUUGGCCAAAAUAGGGAUUUCCUCCCCUUUUGACAAGCCCAAGGUCAUUUUAGCGAGAAAUCAGCCGUGAGAACUUCCAAUUUCAAUGCGACUAGGGUGCAUCCAACAAAUCUAGAAGAUGAGCCCAUCAUUUUAAGACUAAUUUCACACAAUUUGGCUAAAAAAUAAGCAAGAAAUCUAAAAAAGAGUAAAGAGGGGUUUUGAGAGAAAUAAGGAGAACAAGAUAAAAGUGAAUAUAUAUAUAUACGUGUGUGUGUGUGUGUGUGUGUGUGUCUUGAGGAAGGCAAAAGUGCCAUUUUGGUCCUUGAACUUCAAAAAUUAUAUUUUAGUUCUCGGAUGGGCCAAUUUUUAAUGCAGUCUCUAGAAGACAUCUAUCAAGUCAAUGGCAUUCCAAAGUGGGAAAUUUUCAGCAUAAAGUCAAAUUAAGCACCCGGAAAGUGAAAAAUUAAAAAAAAAAUCCAAACAGGAGAAGUUUUAAAAUAUUUCAAGCAGGCAAAAUCCUCAAAAAUUAAAGCAGAUGAAGUCCUUAAAGAUUAAAGCAGGUGAAGUCUAAAAAAUUAAAGCAAGUGAAGUCCUCAAAAUUAAAGUAGCCGAAGUCCUAAAAAAUCAAACGGAGAUGGUCCCCACAUCAAAUCAAAAUCUUUGCAAUAGAAUGAGGAUGGAGCGUGACUUUUACAACUUAUUAACAUAUCCUUUUAACUGUAUGAUUGAUAUUAUAAUUUGUCUCAAUUUAUUUAAUCGCAUGAGUACUUAUAAAUUUUGACAAACCGGGACAGCUAUCAACACCCAUUUUUCAAAUCUAUAUAUAGAGAAAAUUAUAAAAAAUCCAAUGAUGAAAGUUACUACCUUUUUUCUAGUCUCAAGAGAUUGAGGAUGAGUGAAUUUCAGUAAAGUUUGGGAAUAAUUGGAUUUAAAAUUACUUUUCUAGAAUCAAUUUGGACUCAAUUAUCAAAAAAAUAACUUUGAGGGAGUGAAACGGCAGUUUUCAUAAGUUUAUGGACUAAAAUGUAAAAAUUAUCAAACUUUUUCUCCUUAAAGCCAAUCGGCUCUGCGGAUAGGUAAAUCAACUCUACACAAUGUAGAUUGGCUAAUUUUCAAAUUUCAGUGUCGUUUUAUAUAAUUUUGACUUCAAAAAUGCCCAAAACAAAAAGAAAAAUUCUAAAAAAAGUUUAUGUUAAUUAUUAGGAUUUUAAAUAUUUUUAUGGGAUAUUAAAAAUUGAUAAAGAAUUUUUUUUUCAUUUAAAUCUUAAUAUUGAUGUAAGCUUAUUAUUGGCUUUAGGGUUUCCUAAAAGCCCUAGCUCUAUAAAUACAUCAUUAAAUCCUAAUUUUAGAGUUACCAAUUGUUACCAACUCUCACUAAUUUUUAGCAAGUCUUAGCGAUUAUUAGUGGUUGAUAAAAACCCUACCUUCAUUAAAAUAGGAAGCUUCUUUUAGUAACUACAAUCAUAAGUCACCAAGAAAGAACUUAGAUUAGAAAAGUUUUUUAUUAAACGACAAGAGAUUUUCUUAACCUUAGAUAAUACUGGAUUCUCAUAUGAUCUCCAAUUCAAUCACCUCAUCAUCUCUAGAGACUUGCAUAUAAACAAUCUAUGGUGGUAACCUGAGAAUUCUCCCACAUCCAACAUCAUCAACAUCUUUCUUGCUUUACUGAUUCUUUUGUCUUUAUGAUUCUAGAAAUAUGUUAGGAUAAUUUUUGCAUGUUUUAUAUGAUCUGUAUGAUUAGAUUAGGGUUUCUUAUGAAUCAACAUGCUUUUAUGGUGUUGAAUUUUGAAUUUGAUAAAAUGAUCUAUGUUGGAUAUUGAAUCAGAUAACAUGAUUUUUAUAGGGGUUUGAAUAUAAUGAUUAGAAUGAUCAAGACAAUAUGAUUUAUAUCUUUUUAAGAAUAAUUAUAUGAUUAUUAAGUUUUCUUUAGGGUUGCAUGUUUGAAUUAGAAAUCUGUUAUGUGAAGUUAUUCUGCCUUCUAUUAGUUUCUUAUUUUUUCUAUGUGCAUGGUUUUAUGUGUUUUAGUUUAUUUAAUCUGUUGUUAUAUUUUUUAUGUGUUUUAGUUUAUUUAAUCUGUUGUUAUGUUUUUUACUUCAUUAUUUCAUAUUCUUAAUUAUUUUUUUACCUUUUAUGCAUGUGAAAUCGACUCUUGAGCGUGAGAAUUCAAAGAAAAAUUUUCCUAGUUUUGGAUUUUUGUGUAAUUUUAAGCUAUUGUAUAUUGUAGCUUAGUUUUAUGCGAUUUCUUUUAAUUUUUUAGUUGUAGGAGAAUCGUAAUAACUAGAUUUAAUUUUCUGCACUUUAAUUAUGAAUGCCAAAUAUUUGUUGUGGUGAAUGCUUAAUUAACAUUAAGCACAUAGACUGUAGGUCUAAAAUUGGACUUUAACAUGAAAAAGUAGUCCACUAGGUUAAAUGAUGGUAAAACGAGCUUAAAUUAAAAUUCAUACAGACUUAGUGGGUUUUUAUCAUGCUCUAAUUAAUUACUUGUGCCACAUUAUAUUAAGAAUCAUCCAAUUGGGCCUUAACAUAAAAGGUAGUCCAUUUAGGUUUAAAGGCUGGAAUUAAAUGUAUAAUUUAUAAUUGGGCUAGACUAAGUGGGUUAUUGUACAUAAUCAAAUAGUUAAGUAGGCUAACAAAUCAAACAUGGAUUGAGCUUAAUAAAAUGGACUAGACUUAAGAGGUUCUCACAUGUUGUAAUGGAUAUUUAUAGAAAUAUAACUCAUUUAUAAAGAAUAGCUCGUUAAACAAUAAAAUUAGAGAUUAAGAUACACAAAUAAGGAAGUUCGCUUCGGAAUCCAUCUCUAAAUAUAACGAAUUUUUAUUAUAGAAUCUAGUACACCACUCAAUUAGUAAAAGUAUCACAGAAAAUUACCCGAGUGAUGACUCAUAUUUCUGUGCUAGUCUCUGUAAUUAGUUAGGGUUUUCUUAUUAAGUUGAAAAGCCUUAUAGUACCGUAGCCGCUAAAAAUAUUUGGAUGCACGCUUAAAACCGUGACCCACAUUCUUCUAUUUUCAAAAAUAUAUAUAGUGAUUUUUUUAAGAUUUGAAUCCAUGAAUUGAUUAAUUACAUAAAUAUUUAUAAUUAAUAUGAUAAAUUUAAAAUAAAUCACUAACUUUGUAUAUUAAUAUAUUAUGUGAAAAAUCAAAUUUUAUAUAAAUAUCUAAUGAAGAAGUAAAAUAAAAAAUAUAGACGAAGCAAAUUAGGAUAAAACUUAAAUUACAGUUGCUUCAAUUUUUUAUUUAGUUGACUGGUAACUAUUAUCUUAAACAACAAAUGAUUUUGUUGGUCCAUUUACUAUUUUUAUUCACUAAAUAUUUGUAAAUAUAUUUCUUCUUUUAAAAAAAUAAUAUCUCCGAAGUAUUUAUCUACUACAUCAAUUUCUCAUACACUUUAUUUCAUCUUUAUUCUACCUAUUUAUUAUUUAUGAUGCACAAUUCGGUAAAAUCAACAAUUCUGUGAAGUUACUCUUUCAUCUUUCCUUUACUCAUUCUCUUUUUUCAUCAACACUUCUCAUUUUAUUUGAAUAAAUUACGUUCACAGUAAUUAAAUUUUAUUUUAUAAUAAAAAUAUUNNNAAAAUAUGUAAAACUUUUAUUUAUUGCAGAAAAAAAAAUAUAUUAAAUUCAUAAAUAAUUAAAAUUAUAUUUAUUAAUUUUAAAUAAUUAAAUUUAAUGGCCAAAUAUAAAACACUUAUAGACCUAAUAUUAGACCUAUUGAUGUGGCCAAGUACUGAUAACCCGAGCCAUCUCUUCCAACCACACAUUCUAUCCACCGGGAGGAAUCAUAAAAUAGGCUUAAGAGCUGAUAAGUCAGGUAGGAAGCUCAGAAGCAGGUCACAGUUAUGGCUAUGCUAAUGACCAACUUCAAUAUGCUAAUCCGUAAUCCCCUUCUGAGUGCAUAUGAAGGGCGCAUUUAUGAGACAUUAAUAUAGGACAUGAUGGGCAGGACUCGAGUUCGAGGCUAUCCGCCUGCCGACUACUAAGGUUGAGCUUUCAAUUAACCAGAGCUAGACAAACAGAACUGCUCAAUGGCAGAUAAUGUAUCCAGUCAAUGCCCUCUACAUGCAUCUAUGACUUGGAAAAUGCAAAAUAAAGGAGGAGAAAGGGAACUGCAAUGGGAAUAAUAAUAAUAAUAAUAAUAAUAAUAAUAAUAGUAAUAAUAAUAAUAUCCACAAUUGAUUUAACUGAUUUGAAUCACCUGGUUAAAAAUUAAUAUACAAUAUAUGUCAAAAGGCUAAAAUCCAUGAUCGUUCUCUCUUUUAGGUUGAAGAACUUGACCUAUAGUGUACUGCGUGGUACCUUCAGCUAUAUUGUAUUAUGGACAAGAAAUAACCACUACCAUAUUGUGGAGAGCAGUGUAAGCAGAGACUGAAGGCAAAACCUUCUUCCCUCUGGGGCUCAUGCUAUGUCACCGGUUUGAUUUUUUAGAUCAAUAUGAGAGGGGUGAGAGCACUUCGUCCUCUUCACCCGGCAAUUCUACAUUUCCUAAUAAAUUCAUUUGAGAAAUUUACAUGUUUAAUCCAUAAGCUUUGUACCUCUGGGAACCCAAUCUCAAGCCAGGGUUUUGCAGGUCCAUUAAAAUGUAAAAUAGCAGCAGUUUCCAAGAUCUCUCUGCGAACUUCUGGGGGCUUACGACCAAGUCCAGCCAGAUGCCACGAAGGGUCAAUAGGAUGCACAUGACCCUCAAAAGCAAGCAAGGCUGGUGGAAGCACCCCUGGUUGCCAUAAAUCUAGUCCAGAUUUGCGGCUCUGGAAAAAAGAUAUUGAACCUUUAGUGCAACAGAAAAAUGAUAUGCACACAAUAAAGGAUGUUAUGAAGCUAUCAGAGUGUAAAAUAAGAUUCAAGUUUUAUAGUUUCUGCUGUCUGCAAAUGCAGCCUGAAACUCUCCUGUUAAUGGUUUUCACCAGGCCGGGAUUGUAUACACAGCCAAGCCACUUGGAUGGAGGAGGUUACAGAAAGCAUAUUCAGUAAAUAACUUCAUCUAUCUUAAUGGUAAAUUGCCAGGAUUUUUAAUAUGGCUUUAAAUGAAGAAUAAUGCAGAAAAAUGAUACAUGUACCCUUCUCCAAGUAGAUUAAGAGUAGAUUAAGUUGAAUUGGAUUGGCAUCUACAGUUGCACCAUAAAAUACGUGUUGGAACUGGGUCUCAUGAGAUAUGCAAGUUUUCUACAACACAAAUAAUCUAACUCUCUAAGUACCAAUUUUCAAGCUAUAUAACAAUGAUUAUUGCAUCUCUUUUAUUAUAAAGCCAAUGUGUGUGAUUGCUGGUGCUUCUAUGCAGAUGCAUGCUAUAUAACUCAAAGUAUCAGUAAGAUAAAAAUCGGUAUUGUACACUGUAAAUUUAGCUUCUGCAUCUCAAUCUAACAAAAUUCUUUAUGAAGAAUUCACAGAAAAAGAAAAAGAAUAAGAACAAAUAGACAAAUGUUGCCACAUUCACCUAGAGAAAAAUAUGAAUUGCAAUAGAAGACAAUCUAAUGAAGCUUUCUGAAUGGAGAAGGGAGAUAUUACUUACAUGUUUCAACCAUUUAUGGUAAUUUCUAGUGAUAUUGGCUCUCCUCCAAGUGUCAAGAUCAAACACAUUCAUGCCAUAAAGCCAAGCACAACGUUCAGGAUCCAAGUUGGAUGAAAUUAUUGAGUGAGAAAAAUUCAAAUAAUCUUUAUAUCUUCUUGCUGGGCAGCAGUUUUCACCACACCAUGAAUCAACAACAGCACCAACAACUUUCUCAUUGAGAUCCAUUUCCCACAAAGAUGAUAUAUCAUGUUGCACCACUACAUCAUCAUCCAAGAAUACUAUCUUGUUGAGAUCUGGAAACAGCUGCGUGACCCAUCAAAGUCAAAUGAUAGAUCUAUCAUUAUUAAAUUUUCCAUACAUUCAACAUCAUCCAUGCAAACGUAGAAUGAAUUUUUUGAGUAAUACCUCAGGGAGAUAAAUUCGGAGAUGAUUCAAAAGGGAAAGACAGCUAGGGCUUAAAGCCUCCAAACUUCUUUUGUGCUCUCCCUCAUGUAGAAAGUCUUCUUCUUUCAUAUUGGUGUAGUAAUGGCUCCAAAUAAGGCGAUGGGUCUCUAACAUCUCUUUAACUCCAAUGUUCACUUCCUCGGACCAGUCAUAUUGGUGCAAUCCCUUAAUUUCCACAGCUGCUGAUUUAAUAGUAUUAAUAGCAAACCAUGCAUGCAUGGGAGUAUAUGUUUUCUUGUCAGUGAUUAUGUGGAACACCAACUUUUCAGGGCUCAGUGAAUUUUGGACUGUAGAAGAGAUGACAACGGAGGCAGCAAGUACAUUAUCAGUUAUGAGAACAACAUGAUGAAAGGAAGGGUCUGCCAAGCGAGAAACAUAUUCAGGUGGAGGUAAACGAGAUCUAGCUAUUGCAUUUACUGCAUACUCCUCAGACAAUUUGAGGCAAAGGCAAUGUAAGCUUUUUGGAAUGCCAUGUGAAGCUAAAUGCCAGAAAAUCGAUUCUCGCUGUCUGGCUAACUGCACCUUGUGUUCCAUUUUCGAUAGCUGCAAUGUUAGACAAAAAGUUAAUUCCUCCAACUCAUAAGAGAAUGACUACUAGAUGACACAACACUGAUGCAAAAGCUGUUUGUAAAAGACUGAAAAGAGGUUAUUAAUCAAUGACAUUAUCUUGCCUGGUCAAUGGUUCUAAUUAAGUUUCACAGAAACCAUUAGGAGAGAAAAGUCGAGAACUAAUUAUAGCAAUCAUACAUAGUAGCACAAUACAUUGUCAUUUCUUUACCAAGAAAAGGGGCUAACACACGGAUCCCCACAGCAAACCAAAAAUAUGCAUGCAGAUCCAAGAACAUCCACUAAAGACAUGUAAAACCCUAAUAUUUAGCCUCACUAGUAUAAUAAAUUGGCAUUCAGGCCAUGCAUUCAAAGUGCUUUAUACCAUGAGUAAAACAAUGUUAUCAGACUGAAGAUUCUCAAGUAAUUGACAUUAUGGAUAAUCCAAACCUGCUAAUUCCCAGAACAUGCUAGUUCUAUCAGAACCUAUGUUUCUCCCUGAUCAACCAUUUGCACAUUGUGAAAUAUCAUCUCACUGAUUAUGAAGGGUAGCAAAUCAAAUAUAUAGCACUUAAUUCGUGUAUGGAAAUCACAGUAAAACGAAAGGCUAGGGAGGAGCAGAUAUGACUUCUCUAAGUGAGAGGAUAAUCACAAGGAGAGCACCUCGGUAAUUUUCACAUUAACAGUUUGACCAAAUCAGAAGAUGGAAAAUUUAUUGAUCAGCAAAAUGAGGCUUCUUGAUAACCUGGGGAGUACAACAUUAUAUAGAACUUUACAACCAUCCACCUUGCAUAUUUUGACAAAUCAGAUUAUUGCACACUCCAUCCUAUCCCAUAAUAGAUGGAUGCCAUUUCUCGAUAAGCCUACAAGACCAGGCUACAACCUGGAAAUUCUUUACCCUUUAUGGCUAGAUCUGCAAACGUGUCACAUUUAGGGGUAACAAAAUUAGACAGGACAAGUGAACAUUACAUGAGCUGAACCACAAGUUCAGGUCUAUCUUACUCACGUUUACAUUCUAUGUAUCAGGAUGAUUAUGGCCAAGAUAAUCAUGUUCUAUCCCAGAUAACUCAUAUAGUGUCACAAGUUGACUAAUCAGUCUAAGAAUGAGCAAAAAUAAACACAUUUCACUAUUUAUAUUGGAUUAGAACAUUAAGCACCUGCACAUGUUCAUCACUUGCAUAGCCCAUUCAAUAAAAUACCAAUGUUAACUUUUUAUACAUUUCUUUUAUUGCCUAUGUACUUGAGAUUUUGUCUCCUCCCUAUAUAUAUGUAAACAUAUAGGGUAGAAACUAUUGUUGAGUUAACAAUUGUGAGUGUACUUUUGCAUGGAUCAUAAUAUGAAUAAACAUGUAAAAUAUCUGCCACCCUGAAAUGUUAAUCCUAGUUGCAUCAUCUUUUCCCACAAGUAUAUGCAUAUUGAUUCAAUAAAUUUAUUACAAGAAGUACAUAAUUUAGUAUUAGUAGCAAUACCUGUCAAAGGAGGAUGACGAGGAACCAUAUCAUCUAAUGUUCAACUUAAUUUUGCCGAGCUCAAAUGUCAAUCUCAGUGAUAAAGAUUGAUCAAACAGGCAUACCUAACAUCCGUCUAAUCUCUUUCUUGAACCUAAUUGUGUUAAAUCUCUUUCAAAUCACUUUAUUCCAUAAUGAACUACACAGUAACUUUAAACAAGAUGACAAGAACUUUAGAGCAUAAUUAUGCAACCAAAUAGACUACUUUUGAUGCCCAAACCCAGUGGUCCUUAGUCCUGAUGUGGACCUAACAAAAGUUAGCAUCAGAUUAGGAUUGUGAUAAUUCAUGUAAAAGAUGCCUAAGCAAUUUUAGAUUAUAACAAGUGAUGCAAAAGAAGCCUUGAUAACUUAAUCAGAGCAAAAAGAACUUCCAAUCAUCCUUGUGAUGGUACAAAUUAUUACCAGCCAAUUCAUCCUUAUGCUUCCUAGCAGAACUCCUAUAUGCUUAUGAACCAAGAGAAUUUAUUACAAUAACAACAGCAGCAACAACAAUAAUAAAAAUAAUAAUAAUUACCAACUCUUGCUAGAAAACUUUCUUAUAGUUCUAGGUUCUAGAAAGUUGGCCAUAAGUCAAACUCAAAUAGUGGGACAGACAAGGACUUUGGAAGUACAUGUCUUGUCAUACAUUGAGAAAAGAAUUAUUCUCACAAAGCAACAAAAACGCCAUGAGAAAGAUAACAUAUUAAAAUGGUUUGAAAUUUGUUGAGAUUUUAUUAUCAAUUUCCUUAUACGGUCUAAUAUCUCCCCUCAUUAUCCUCUUCAAAAGCUAAAACUCAUUCCAAUGCAAAUAGCUAACAUGUGAAUGCAGGAAAACAAGCAUUACAGCAUUUUGAAUGCUGACCAAACAGCUAAUUAAAAUAUCAUAUAUCAAUUUUACCAAAGUGCUGACUAUAAUUAGAAGGACUAUUCAUAUUGUAUUAUGUUCAAUUGCUCAGCUUCUCAUAUAAUAAUGUCAAAUAAAGUACGCAUCUAACUAUUAAAACCAGAAUGGAGUAGCAGAAUUAGCAAGACUUUUACCAAUUCAAGUACUGAAUUCAAUUUGCAUAAAAGAGAUAUACCCACCCAUCCAAUUGCCAUUGAAAAUAAUUUGAAGUGAAUAAGAAUAACCAAAAGCUAAACAAAACAUUACAUAAGGAAAAGACAAGUAGAGGGCAUAACAAUGCAAGAGUAGUAAUACAUUUGAAGUGUACAUAGAGAGACGUACCAUGGCCUUAGUCCUGAAAGCAAAAGCCUUUAUGUCUUGCCUGGUAGAUGUCAUUUCCUUCACAAGCUCGUUGAAUGAUGCUGUUGAAUCAUCCAUUUUUUCAUCAUCAAUGCCACUCUCCUUUGCCUCCAACAACGCUCUUGUCAGCUCUUCUCUCAGCUUCUGUUUACAUGAUGGUUAGGUACAUGCAACAACCACAGCAACAACAGCAUUACAUAAAAUUCUUGGUAUUUUAGCCGUUAGAUGUAAUUAUAACGUGUUGACGUUUUGCUGACAUUAAGCUGACUAUACCAAAAGUUCUCCGUUUCUUUUUUCUUCUUCCACCCCAAGACAUGCCCCCCAAUCAUUUUGGAGUUCUCAAUGGUAAAAUUGACAAUAGCAAAAUUCCACACCCCACCAAUAAUUGAAUUUCNNNNNNNNNNNNNNNNNNNNNNNNNNNNNNNNNNNNNNNNNNNNNNNNNNNNNNNNNNNNNNNNNNNNNNNNNNNNNNNNNNNNNNNNNNNNNNNNNNNNNNNNNNNNNNNNNNNNNNNNNNNNNNNNNNNUGUGAUUUAUAAAGUUCAAGUUGGAGGAGAAUAUUAUGAUUGCUAGACAACUGGCCACGUGGACCUGAAAGCAACAAAGAAAUACCGACAAUCCCAAAAAUGAGUUUUAUCCAUACUCACCAAUUUUCCUUUAUUUUAAUAUUUAUAAUCGUUGGCUAUAAAUUAAGACAGACCAUUUUUAGAGGUGGGUGUCUAAGCUGAAAAUAAUACGCCAGACCAAAAUGCCAUCACAUCAAUCUCUGGUUUAACAAGAAUGCCAUUUGUAAUCUUAGGGGAAGUUUUCCUUUUCAUUACAUAAAAAUUGCUAGCUAUCCACUCUCAUUUUUUUCAUCCCAACUAACAAGGCUUCCUUUUAAACUAACAUCUUAGAUAUGAAUAAAUUGAAACCUAAUAAACCAUUUGAUAUAUUUAAUAAUAAGAAAUAUAUACUUUUGAAGUAGGUAAACAUUUUUUUUUAAAAAGUGAAUAAAAUCUCAAUGAAACAAAACAUUUUGAAUAAUGUUUUAAAAUUACUUAGAAGAAAACUUUAUAACACAGUAAAACAUAAAUUUUAUCAGGGGACCAUCCCCUUAAAAAGGACAUUUCAUGUAAGAGAUGAGUGGUGACUGGACCCAAAUGACGGAUUUUGGCAUGAUUGAAGAAACAAUGGGUUUGCCUAUUUUUAAUGCACUAAAUAAAAUAGUACAAGACAAAGCACUUAUCAUAAAAUACAGACUAACAAAAUGGAUAAAACUUUAGGUUAUACAUUUUGUAAAUUAGAUUUAUAGGACCAAAAUGCCCUUCAAUACUAUCAAUAUUUUACAUGAUAAAAUCUUUACUCCCUCAUUCUUUUUAAAGGGUACAUGUAAAAGGUACUGGAUCACCCCUUCCAAUUAAUAAAUACCCAUUCACAAUUGGUGCCAAUAAAUGCACGAGGCAGUUAAUGGUAGAUUGCCAAUUACCAUUGAUGGUUGAAAAUUGUACGCAAGUACAGUAUUCCUAAUUUUCACACAGCAGGAACACUUGGCAAACAGGGAAAUAAACGAAAAUGACAAGGGCAAUUUUGUCAUUAACCAUUAAAAUUAAGAAAACAAAAUUUACUUACCAUUGAUGUGUCACUCCCGCCGAAAAAUCUCCAUGGCCUGCAGUCUGUAAAAACAAUAGAAAAAUUAAAAAAUAAUAAUAUACAUUAGAAAACGGAGUUGAGAGUGAAAGGAAUGGAACAGCCACAAAAAUCGAGAUCCCCAAAAUGUACAAAUAGAAAAAGCACAAUUUACAACCGUAGCAGCAAAGCAUAAUCUUUAGAUUAAUUUCAAUCAAAGUUCCUGAAUUUAAGUUUGUUUUUAUUAAUAUCUUUAAAAUUUUAUCUAAAAUUUGAUAUCAAAGAGCAUUUUUAUCUAAAAUUUUUUAUUUCUUUUUCUUUACGUUAAGUUUUUAAAUAAAAUUAGGCAAUAAAAAACUUUUAAACCACAAAAUCAAAAUUCAAGAACAUUUAAGAUAGAAAAAAGAAUUUAAGAAUUUUAAUGAGAAUUUAACAGAAAAAAAAAAGUAAGAAAGAGAAAACAGAAAGACUGGAGAGUAAGAAUCUUGGUAUUGAAUUAAUUUACCUACAGAAGAAUUGCAAGCAGAGGCAGACUCAAGCACCAAAAACGCAAUUCUAACGAAAAGAAAGGGCAAAACGAUUGCAAGAACCAGCAAAACCGGCAAUAAUGUCCGGCCAGAUAUCCGGCGACCGGCCGCCACCUUAAUCGAUGAUCCUUUCCCUCCUCCUCCUCCGCCACAACCAGGGUUUGAUAUCGUAACUCUUUUAAUCCCAGUCGUCGAUAUAUAAAACUUCAUCUCGAUUAUCUACCACUUCCCCAUGCUACUUUCUCGCACUUCACCUCCAAUUCCAUCACAAGAUUCUAACAAACAGUAUCCCCAUUCUUUACUCUGAGCAUCACAUCAUAAAAAGGAGAAAAGAAAGAAAAAAAAAAACAAGGACCCAGAACAAUUCUUUAUUGUAGAGUAUUAAUUAAUGCCAUUUCAAUAACAAGAAUGACAUUCUUGAAAGAAAAAAAAAAUUAAAGAUUACCUAUCACGAGCUUGACUUCUGUUGCUGUGGAGUGAAAGAGAGUGAAUAAGUGAGAUAGAAUCAGGGAGAGUAAGUAGUGGAAGAUGGGAUCACGCUGAGCUACUGUCACAAAAUUCUAGUUGGCGAAACAAAACAAAAAUAGUUUCUGUUUUUUUUUUCUCUUAAUGUAAAAAUAAAAAUGGGACAGAGAGAGAAAAGCCAAAAUAAAUGCCGCGUUCAAAGCCGCGGGAAAAUAAUAGAUUUGCAAUAAUUUCUAUUGGGAAAAUGCUUUUCGAGUCAGUUUGGUUGGGUGUUUUAUUUAAUUAUUUAAUUAUUUUUGUAAUUUUCGCCUGUUCAAUUUCUAUUAAUUUACAGAUUUAACCUUUGCUUUCACCGACAGGUUAUGGAUGUGACGUUAACGUAUUCUUCAGUUCAUGGGGUUUCAUGACCACAGCCCACAGAGGGACGUGGUAAUUAAUUCUGUUUGACAUUUCUUUUUCCCAGUUUUAUUCUGUGUGGAUAAUUAAUAUAAAUAUUAAUCCAAUCUGAAAUACAUACUUUCUUUUAAACAACAGCAACCCUACUUUUAGAAACUUACUGUUUGGAGAGAGGGAAAACUAAAGGUGCAAUUUAUUUAUUUAUUUAUUAAUUUAAAAGAAAAAUAGACUUUAUCUUUAAGACAAUCCAACCAAGAUUUUCUGUUUGGAAAAGGCUUUUGAGAGGGGUACUACCAAUAUCACAACGUUAAAAUGACCCGCAUGCUGUUUCAAAUUUAGUUUAGAACCAAAUAAAUUUAAUUUUAAUUAUUUUAAUAAAUAAAUUUAUAAUUUUUAUUUAGUAGUUAAAUAGAUUUAGAUUUUAAAAAAAUUAUAAAUAUUAUCUAUUAUAUUUAUUAUUUAAAUUAGUUAAAUAAAAUAAAUUUAAAUAAAUAUAAAUUAUUGAUAUUUAAAAAAUUAAAUUUAAGUUUUUUAAUGUUUUAUAUAUUAAAUACUUAAUAUAUUAUUAAAAAUUAAUAAUUAAUAAUCAAUAAUUAUUAUUUCUAUUUUACUAUCGCCGUCGAUUUUGUCAAACUAUUAUUAACACCGUUGCCAUCAAUUUGAUCAGUUUCAAUCAAAAUUUGAAUCUAUUUAGCUUUUAAAUAAAAAUUAUUAAUCUAUUUAUUAAAAUAGUUAAAUUAAACUUAUUUGAUCCUUAAAUAUAAAUUUAAAGAGGAUAUUUGAUCUUUGAUCCAAAACUUAACUAUCUUAUUUAUUUUUAUUCGCAUAUUUUUAAUUAUCUUUUCAAUUUAGCUCAGAAUUGAAAAAUAAUUUCAAUUUAAUCCGUAAUUUCUUUAACGUCCUAUUUUUAGCAUGAAACUUAACUUUUGGAUUUCUAGAGGAAAACUCUUAUUCUUAGAAGAUUGUAAGCCAAUAUCAACCACUUACAUCAUUAACCGAAUGUUGAAUAUGUGAAUAAUUAUUUAUUAUGGAUUAUCGUAUAAGAUUGAACCUAAUUGCAAGUGAUUUGCCAAUAUUUGGGUAAUUUGGAUUUUAAUACAUUUAAUAGAGUGCUUAAGUGGGUAAAGAUUUAAAUGUAAUAUCUAUUUUACCAUAAAUUAAAAUAACAAUGUUGAUAAAUUUAUUAUUUUCUUUCUGACCUUCUAUUAUUAGAGAGAAACUAAAGAGAAAGAUAAAAAGUUUUUUAAGAAUUGUAUUAAUUUUUAUAACCAUUUUUUAUGUUGAUUAAUUAAGAAAGAAUUCUUUUUUCUCUAUGAUUAUUUUUUGUAUUAUUGAAUAAUAUUAAUUUUCAGUAUUAGUAUUGUUUAUAUUUGAAAACAAUUUUGGAUAUUGUUGGACUUUGGGCUUUGGUCCAACGUGGGACACCAUGGACGCUCAACAUGUUUGAAGGAUUUAUAUUAGUAAAUAAAAUUCGUAUAUCAAAUAAGAAGUAAUAUAAUAUAAUAGUUUUAUCCACAAGAAUUUCAAUUGACUCGAAAUUCUAUAUUAGUUAGUAGACAAAAUACAUAUGUAGAAAUAAUAUAUCAAGUUUCUUUUUUCUCUCUACUGAAAACAAAAUGAAAAGACUACAUGCUCUUGGUUACCACUUCCAUUCGCAAGAGUUUCUAAAUUGUGGAAUUGCAAUUUGGCCCAAAAAGUCAAAUUCAGUGUUCGUGAAUGGCAACAAAGGGCAGGAAAAAUCAUUUGUAGAUCCUAGAUUUGCUGUGCAUUAGACUAUAAGAGAUAGAAUAUAAAUCUUAUUGGGCAGACACACACAUACUCCAAUAGUUAUAAAUACUAUCAGCUCAUAUUUAAGUUGUUUUCCGACUGCUUUAAGUUAUUUUGUUGAUUGUAUAAUUAAAUUUUAGAUUAAAAAUUUUAAAAAAAAUAUAUAUAUAUAUAUAUAAAUAUAUAUAUAUAUAUAUAUAUAUAUAUAUAUAUAUAUAUAUAUAUAUUUUAAUGACUUAAAUGUAUGCUUUUUUAUUUAAUAUGUAAAGAAACAAAUUUCACCAUGAAAAUAUUUUUACAAUAUGUUUCAUCAUGUGAUAAUAUGAUUUGAAAAAUUUCGUGCAAAACGGACUUGUACAUUUUUAAUAAUCUUUUGGGAUUCUAUUGAUAGAAAUUUUGACCGCCUUAACUUUUCUUUGUGUUGGUUAUUUCUCUGGGAGUUAGAGAAGUUUUUUAUAAGUUUUAAACUAAAAAGUAAUUUGGCAUAUGUGGACGGCAGUUUUGGAUUCGCAUUUAAGUGUAUUUAGCAACUAUGAUACUAUAAGGCUUUUCAAUCUAAUCGAGAAUAUGCUAAUUAGUCAUAGAGACCGGCAUUGAGAUGAAAGUUGCCACUUGGAUAAUAGAGCCACUUUUACAAAUAAAUAAUAUUUUUCGAUUUCAUAAGAAAGCUUACAUCACAAAAUCCAGAAAUAGAUUUGGAAACCAACUUCUUUAUUUGUGUAUAUUUAUUUUUAAUUUUAUUAUUUAAUAGGCUAUUCUCUAGAAAUGCAACAUAAAUAUUUUCACACAUCAUGCAUUACAACAUGUGAGGUCCACCUAAAUCUAGCUCAUUUUUAUUAAAACUCAACCUAUAGAAUCAAAGUUAUUAGUCUAACUUAUUAAUUAAUUAUAUACAAUGCCCUACCUAGUCUAGCUCAAUUACAGAUUAUGCUUUUUAUUUUCAAUCUUUAAACCUAAUUGACUACUUUUUAUGAAAAGGUUCAAUUCAGUUCCUAAAUCUAAUAUGGUCCAAUUUAACCUAAUUAAGCAUGACAAAGCUCAUUAAGUCUAUAUGAAUUUUAAAUUAAAGCCCAAUUACAAUCUUAAUUAAGCUAAUGGACUGAAAUUUUCAUGUCAGGUCCAAUUUUAAGGCCUAAGUUUAUCUGACAAAUUUUAAUUAGGCAAUCAUAAAAUAAAUCCAGCUAUUACAAUCCACUUACAACUAACAACGUAAAGAAAAUCUUAAAACUAAGUCGCACUAUAAGAAAUUGCCAAAAUACGUCAAAAAAAUAAAAAAUCAGCUUAAUAACGUAUACAGCCCAUCGACUCAAGGCGAAUCGACUCUGCAUGGAGCCGAUCGACUCUGGAGGCUUGGAGUAGUCUUCUGCAUUUUCUCCUCAAUUUUUACAUUUAGAACAGAUUUUUACAUACACAAAAGGAAAAGAAAUUAGUUAGAAUAGGUGUAAUUAACAAAAAAAUAAAAAUAUAACCUAAUUAUAUUUAUUAUUAACGAAUCAAAUUUAAAAUUCUAAUUAAAUCAAAUUUUAAUUCUAGGUGUUCUUAUUAUUAAAUUCAAGACCCAAUAAAAUUAGCAUACUAAACAGAAUGGAAUUCUAAUAUAAUAAUAUGAGUUAUAUAUAGAAUAAAACAUUAAAAAAAUUCCUAAUAUGUUUUUUUAUAUAUACAAAUAAAAUUAGUAGUAAAGAAAGAAGAGAUGUUGAUGAUGUUGAUGUAGGGAAUCCUUAGGUUGUCACUGUUAAUUGUCAUUUUAUGAGUCUCAAGAGAUGAGGAAGUUGUUGAAUCAAAGAGGGGAUGAAAAUCCAGUUUUGUCUUUUUUGGGUUUUCAAAAAAAUCUAUGUCGUUUUUCAAUGAGUUUUCUAAUUUGGGAGUUCUUUCUUAGUGGCGUGCUAUAGGUUUCCUCUUUAUAUAUCAAUGCAAUUUUUUUGCUCUAGUUUUUCAGCUUUGUUGUUUAAAUAAAAUGUAGCUAACCCUAGACCUAGGGCAUACUACUCUAUUUAUAGGAGUAGGGUUAGGGAACCUUAGGAGAUGUUGAUAAUUAUUUAAUUAUUAAAAAAAAGGUUAUAAUUAUCCUCUCCUUUAUUAUAUUAAUUCAAAUAAAAAGAGAAUUAUUUUUAAUUUCAAAUAAUUAUUAUCAAUAAAUAUUUAAAAAUCUCAAUAAUUAUCAUAAAUACUCUCUAAAAAUUUAUUUUUAUCAAUUUUGGCACUUUGGAUCGAAAAUACAAAUAAAAUGGCAUGAAAACUCAAAAAAUAGCCAAUAAGCCCGUAUAAAGCUAAUCAGCUCUAUGCUAAGCUGAUCGGUUUUGUGUAGAUUUGAUUUGGCUGUAUAGAGAGCCGAUUGGCUCUAUGGAGCAAAUAUUAUGAAAAUCUCAAUAAUUUAGUCCCUAAACUUCUAAGAAUUAUUAUUUUACCCUCAAAUUUUAUUUUUUAUCAAUUGUAGAAGAGUAAUUCUAAGUCUAAUUAAUCACAUCCUUCUCUUAUAUUCACCCCUUUUUAAUCUCCAAGACUCGAGAAAAGUAGUGACUUUCAUCAUCGAAUUUUUCAUAAUUUCCUUGAUAUCUAGUUAAGAAAAUGAGUGCUGACAACUGCGCUCAGUUUGUCGAAAUUUAUAAGUAUGCAUGUGUUUAAAUAAAUUAAGACAAAUCAUAAUAUCAAUGGCAAAAAGGAUAUCUUGAUGAGUUAUAGAAGCCACGCCCUAUAAGCUCAAGAAGGAAUUUGAUUUGAUGUGGAUAUUACGCCUACUUAAAAUUUAAGGACUUUGUCUGCUUGAAUUUAGGAACCACGCUCAUCUAUUUAGGAACCACGCCUGCCAAUUUAGAAACCACGCCUGCCGAUUUGGGAACUACGUUCAUGGAUAUAGGAACCACGCCUAUCGAUAUAGGAGCCACACCCUUUGAUAUGGGUACCACACCCGUCGAUAUGGGAGUGACACCCAUUGAUUUUACUUUUGCAAAGACUUCCUUUUAGCUAUUUUUCAUAGUUUUACCACUUUGAAUCAAGUAAUUUUCCACUUUUGAGUGCUUUUGAUUAGAAAUUCUCAACUCAAGGUGCGAUCUGACUCAACUGACAUUCUUUGGAAGCUGUGUUGGUAUUUGGCCCACUGAAGGACUAAAAUGUAAUUUUUGAUGAUUUUCGCCUCGUGAUGCAAACUAGCUCUCCAUGUGCCUCAUGAGAGCUCGUGUUGGAUUUUAGUUUAUUUAAAGACUGAAAUAUAAUUUUCAAUGGGGCUAGGGGUCUAAAUGAUACUUUUACCCUCUUCAAGGCUUAUAUAUACCUUCAUUCUUAUUUAUACACCACCUUAUCCCAUUUUCACUUUUGCUUUCUCUGAAACCUUAUUUUGCUUUUUCUUCAAUUUCUUAGCCAAUUCAUAACUGAAUUUUAUAAAACCAGUCUUAAAAUGGCAGUCUCAACUUUUAGAUUCUUUGGGCAUACCUCGAUUGUAUCCAAUUGGGAGUUCUCACCACUAAUUUCCUGUCGAAAUGACUUAGGACCUGUAAAAGGAGAGGAAGUUCCUCUUUUAGAAAAAUUAAACACUUACCGGGUAUUUUCGGCUGUCGAAGAGGUAUUUUUCCAGCUUUCAACUUUGUAUCUUGUCACUUACAUAUUAAAUACACGCAUUAUUUGCUCAAUAUGCAUGAUAAAUUUUUGAAAAAGUUGAAAAAGUUGUCUGCCCCAACCUACAAAUUCGACCGAUUCUAUUUAGCGCCUAUUUGGCUGUGCGCACAACUGAUCGACUUUGUGUUGAGCCGAAUUGGCACUGAUAUUUGAAUCAACCGUGCAUGGGCUGAAACUGGGUUUUUGAGGCUUUUUAACAUAAAACAGCAAUAGAUAAGUGUUAUACUUGCCUUUUUGGAGUCUUUUUGUGCAUGAAUUGUAUUUAAUACCCAUGUUUCCGCUUUUUCAGAGUGAUUUUGUAUUGAUCCGGUUCGCCAAAAAUUUCUACAGGGCCUAUGAGUGGUUUGAUGAGCUCCAAAGCUUUGUCCAGGCUAGGAUCAAUGAUAUUGGCUUUCGUUGAUUUGUGGUUACACUUCCAUCUGUUACUAGGAGGAAGGAUCAUACUUAUAUAUACUCGUUGCUCGAGAGGUGGACGAACACUACUCACACUUUCCACACUCCAGUCAAUGAGUUGACACUGUCGCCUCUCUCUUUUAUUGCUAUCACAGGGAUAAACUUCUCGGGUAUCCCUAUCCCUUUUUAUGAUGCCAUUCACAAUCAACGCUCUAAGUCUAGGAGUGCUAUAUCACGGACUUACUUGGAUUCUUAUCAGUGUGCAAAAACACUCGUUGUAUUGCUUACUAUAGCGUUCCUCUCCAUUAGAAAGGCUUCAUGCCUCAUAAUGCUUGAGAGAUGGAUCAAAUGGACAGGGCCUUCCUGGUAUAUCUUUUCGAACCACCUUAUUCAGUGACUUAGGAAAUUCAUUGAACUUCCACUAUAUGGCCCUUUUAUAGGAUUUAGAUAAGGUUUCCUCCAACAAUUGGGGAUCUACAACUCUCACUUAUCUAUACCAUUAGAUGGACAUUAUCGUCUGUAGGAGUAAGAGGAUUUGCAACUUUUGGCAUACCGUACACAUAAGUUCUGCUAUACUUUUAUUCCUGCCCCCUUCCUUUUUUAUUUGUAUCAUGACUAUUGACUUCUGUUUUGCAAGUAAGCCUUCCCUUGCUUGAGUUACUAGGGUUAGAGCAGGAGUGUUCCAUUAGAGUAUGCCCAGAUUCACGUGCAUCCCAUGUGGAUCAACUCCCUAACCUGGGACAAAGUAAACAAAAAUUUAUUAGUCAUAUUUGCAACUUUUGCAUUAAGUUACUUGCCUUUCCAAUUUACAAAUCCAAAGCGAUUGGCUAGGGGAACACUGUCACUAGGCCCUACGUGUUAUCUGUUGCUGACCUCGAGCAUAGGAGGAUCCUAUUAGUUAGGCUUGCCUGUCGAGCAUGGUGUUUAGGCGAGAGGAUUUAUGGGUAGGAGCAAGGCCCUAAUAGACCCGAGUCCUCUUGCCUCUACCCCUCUCUAUGUUUUGGAGAGUAGAUCUCAUUGGAGAGGAGCUAACGACAUGUUUAGUGGGAUAUGAUUAGAUUAAUGAUCUCAUUCUAAUUUUGAAAGAUAUACCCCUCUUACGUGGUUGUUUACUAAUCCUGACAAACAUACCUCUCUUACGGGGUUGUUUUCUCGUAUUAAAAAAUAUACUACUUUUAUGGUCUUGUUUUCUCAUGUCGAAAGAUAUACCCCUCUUACGGAGUUGAUUUCCAAUAUUGAUAAAUAUAACCCUCUUACGGGGUUGUUUUCUCAAGUUGACAAAUAUACCACUAUUUUGGUAUUGUUUUCUCGUAUUAAAAAACAUACCACUUUUUUGGGGUUGUUUUCUCAUGUUGAGAGAUACACCCCUCUUACGGGGUUGUUUUCUAUUAUUGACAAAUAUACCCCUCAUACGGGACUGUUUUCUCCUAGAGACAAAUAUACCACUUUUUUGGGAUUCCUAUUCCUAAGCCAACAGAGAGGCGAUUUGCCUGAUGCUCCAAGCCAUCCUCCAUCUCGGGUUCCUCUACUGGUGCUACCUCCGAAGCACCUCCUACUGUUAUAGUAGACGUGAUUCUAGGGAGCAUGCCAUUCCUUCCAGACCUGAUGGUCUCAUACUAGAGUCCUCAUGAUGCGAUAGAGCAUCAACUUGCCAUGGAGCACUGUCUUCCGCUAGAGUUUACUUUGAGUACCUAUACACACGUAAGUAACAUUCUCCUUUACGUUUUCACAUUUCUUUUCCUAAAAAGUUAGUAACACAUAAUGAUAAUUACAUAGGUUCAACAAGACCAAUUUGAGCAUGUACAUCAAUUGGUCGGUGCUGUGAUGAGGCAAUUCUUUAUCCUCGGUGAGGACUGGCGGGUAGGAAAAAUGUAUUAUGAAAUACAGUAUGUAUGCAUGUACGCACAUAUUAAAAAAUCUCCUUUUCUAUUUUCCUCAAAGAGACCAUGAAAGGUUGCAAGGACAGGUGAACGAUCGGUAAUGUCAGAUUAAUGCUCAGCAAAGCAGGAUCAACACUCUGACGCUUUAGCUGUCUACCUUGCAGACUCAAGGGAUGGACACUGAUUCAGACGAUGGGAUUCAGGGAUUCGGGAGAUAAACCCAGCUUUUAAUUGCUUAUACCCACUUUUGCCAUAUUUCUUUAUGUAGACCUUGAAUCUUUUGAAGAUGUAUAAAACUUUUGUGCUUUUUAGUGUUAAAGUCCCUUCCUUACUUUUAAUUUCUUCACUAUAUUACAUAUUUUGGAUUUACACAUAAUUAGAGAUUGAGAGAAUGCCUGAAAAGCCCUUAAAAAGUAAAAAAAAAUGCAUGAUGACAUCACACAGCCGAUUGGCUGUGUGCUAAGCCGAUUUAGCUUUGCGGUUGCAGAGUCCAAAUUUAACUCUGAUUUUAGGCCUAUAAAUACACACUUCCCUAUACUCGAUUUUCAUCUUCAAAAGUCAAAAAAAGCAUGUCUCAAAGAGUGCUAAGAGCCUACAAACUCUUCUCAAAACCAUAACUGGUGAUGAUUGGAUUAAACUUGGAAAAUUUUAUCUUUCGUCCUUUAAAGCCAUGCAACAUACCAAACUUGAUUAUCGGUUUCUUCAUUCUGCUAUUAACUUUUGGUGUUUGAGAGACCAUAUUUUUAGAUUUAAUGGACAAGAACUGUGCCCUAUGAUUGAAGAAUUUUAUGCCAUUCUUAGAGGCCUUAUGGAUUCUCCUCAUCUGAUUACUUUGCUAAAGCUUGAUGAUCCCUUUCUUGGCAAAUUAGUGGAGCUACUUGACAUGCCCCUAGCUGAAGUCCUUUUCCAUUCUGUUAGUGAGCUCAUUACCCUUAAUUCUCUAAUUUCUUAUUGUGAGAAGAAAGAAAGAGUUUCACCUACUUUGAUUGAAUGCUGAGCUUUUGCCUUUAUACUCAAUUUAUGUUAAUUUUACGUCAAGUAGGGAGAUAUUAGGAUUGUUGGCAUCAUUAGUCAAGUGGAGCAUGGAGUAGAUCCUAUACCCAUCAUCUUGGCUGAAAGCAUUAUUGGGUUAUAUAUAUAUAAAACCCAUCAACAGUUUGGAGGCAGCCUCAUUCUCUUACAGGUAUAUAACUAAAUCUUUUUUUCCUUUAUUAUUUAUGCCUUAACUUUUUCCUAAGUUGCCCUUUUGAGUUUUCAACUAAGCAUACUUUGUUUUUGCUUAAACCGCCCUUUCGAAUUUUCAACUUAGUUUUUUUUUAUUUUUGCAAAUUUGGUUGCACAAAAAGCUUCAAAUACUGACCAUACCAAAGAACAUUGAUAAAUACAAGCUGAAGCACCUACAAGUUUGACUAGUUAUCACUCAGCGGGACCAUGAUGGCUGGAUUUCUUGGAUGAAGGGAAUUCCUAAUACACUUAUUCGCUGGUAUUAGUGGAGAAUCAGGCAUGUCACAAUAAAGGUAUGCAUCGACUGUGUGCCUUCACCUGGAUUACGGGCAUCCACUUUCUAUACACUCUCAAGACUUUGCUGCUAGUAUAGGCAAAAGCAACGGAUUUUAAAAUUUCCUCAUGAACUUGAAGGCUUCUCAUUUAGACAAGAUUUCCUAGACAAGAUGGAGAGACUCUAGCCUCGCCAUGGACAAAGAGCACAACCUUGACUUCAAAGGCAAUCUAAUCACAAACGAUAACUACAAAGCUCAGGUCGAGCUUCAGAUUACCACUUCUCUUAGAUUCGCGAGGUUUAAAAGGACCGGAGAGUUAGCUGCCCAUUCUAAAUAUGCAGAUGCAAAUGCAAAUAGAAGGAAAUAAAAAAUAUAUUUCUUUUUAGAUCUCAUUCUUUUUGCUUAGUACUUUGGUUUAGUUUUUCCAUCAGUUAGUAUGUAAAGGAAUAAACAAAUAUAUAUAGUACAUUUGAUAAGAAUUCCACACACUUUAUUCAUUUAAUGGAGGUCCAAAUGGGUACAUUUUGAUUCUUAUGNNNAUUUCUAUGCCAUCAGCUAGUCUUUCAUAUUACUAACAGAUUAUUUUCUCUCAUGCCUUGAUUUUGUCUGACCAGCUCUUAUUAGGAUUUUCCGACCAGUAUGCUUUUUUCUAUUAUAUAUUUAUUUUUUAUACAUAGUAUUUCUUAAGACAGUCCAGGUUGAUUGGCUCAGAAAACUCACUUUCCUCCAAUUAUGAGAUCUUAGCGGCAUCUUUUGACAGGAUUUCUUUUACCAAGUAUGGGUAUGGGCAGCGGUUUCAGGUAACUACGGCCUUGUAAGGCUUUUCAACCUAAUCGAGAAUAUGCUAACUAGUCAUUGAGACUAGCACAGAGAUGGGAGUCCCCACCUGGGUAAUCACCAGAAUACUUUUAUUAAUAAGUGGCAUUUCUCAAAUUCCAUAAGGAAGCUUACACCAUAGAGUCCAGAGAUGGAUCCGAAAGCUAACAUCCUUAUUUAGUAUAUUAGUCUUUAAAUUUAUUAUUUAACAAAGUAUUCCCUAUAAAUGCAAUCAAUUUAUACACAAGCAUGCUAAAAUAACACAAAAUACACUUAAACCUAGCCUAUGUUUUUUCAAGCAUAACCCAUAUUUAGGUUAUUAAUCUAACUUACUAACCAAUUAUGUAGAAGGUCCACCUAUUCUAGCCCAAUUACAUGUUAUGCUCUUUAGAUUCUAGCCUUUAAGCCUAUUAGACUACUUGUUAUGAGAAGGCCUAUUUAUUGUGAUCUCAACCCUAACUAAGUUCAAAUCCUAACUAAACAUACCAAAACCCACUAGUCUAAUUGAAUUUUAGGGUUUAGGCCCAAUUAAGGUGAUAACUUUUCAUUUGUGUAUAAGAUAGAAGAUAACAACAUAUUUAUUGUCUAUGUAGAAAAUACAAAGAAGAACUUACUUUAGUUGAUCUAAGAAAUGUGGAUCAAAGGCAUAAGGAGAAUUCUCUCGAUGAUUUGAAAGCCAUGUAAGUAUAUUACAACAAGACACAUUUUUAUAGUAUAUUAUGGAUUGUAUAUUAAUUUUUAUAUAAAUUUGCUUUUAGGUCAUAUAAUUAUAUAAUAAAUGAAAUGGAGAGGUGAAUAAGAGCUUUUGUCAUUAGCUCGAGGAUCGGACAAACGAGUUUGUUGCUAUAGAGGCUACUUUAUCAAUGGGUACAAGUUUUGCACAAGAGAACAAGAGAUAUUUAAAAGAAAAAAAAACAUAAUCAUUGUUAAGGGUGAUGGAUCAACUGGCAACUUGGAGUUUUAUGAUGUACUUACACCAAUUAUGGAGUUGCAAUACACCUUUGGUAAUCGGGUCGUAUUAUUUAAAGGUGAUUGGUUUGAUAUUCCUCCUAGAGGAAAAAAUCAAACCAAGAGGUAUAAGAAGGACAUAAAUGGCUAGGAUUAAUAUGAUGCACAAACUUAAGAUUAAUGAACCAUUUGUCCUAACAUGUCAAGCGAACCAAGCUUAUUAUGUGAAGGAUGUUCUAAAUCCUAAUUGCAUUUAGUAGUAAGAAUAAAGCCUCAAAACUACUAUGAUUUGCCACUUGAGUUUAUGGAUAUUGAAGUACAUGAUCGACCUAUUGAUAUAGAGCCAUAUUAAGACAAUGAAUUGCCAAUUACUGAAACUUAUAGCGUUAUAUAUGAUCAGAUAACUUAUGUGCUUUGUGUAGAGAUGAUGUUAAAAGUUCCUAUAUUUAUGAGAAUAUUUUGAUUUAAGAGCAAAAAUUGGUUGAUGAUGAUAAAGACACAAAUACAAACAUAGAUGAUGAUGUUGAUGAUGAAGUCUUAUUUGACAAUAUGAAAGUUUUUGAUGACAUUGAUAGAUGAUGAGUUUAUUAUUUGACUAGUUUGGUGUUUAAAAUGACUAAAUGUUGAUAAUGAUGUCUCAUUUAUUUUCUUAUUAUAUGUUUUCUUUACUUGUGUUAUCAAAAGUAUGUACUUCAGAUAGAUACUUCCAAAAUAUAAUUCUAAUAUUCAGUAGCAAUAAUUCUAAUAUUCUAAUUCAAUAACAAUAAUAUGGGCAGAAAGACUCCAAGAAUAUCAAUACGUACUCCCCAAACAGGUAGUAGCACAUAUGGAAUGAUGAAAAGAACUCCAAGGUCACAAGGAGGGAUUCCUAAAGCAUUUAGUAGUAGUUUUAUUUUUAUUGUCUCCUUUAUUAUGUUUUUUUCUUAUACUAUAACUUAUUUAUUUUUUAUUAUUUAAAUCUUUUUUUCUAGGUACUAUAAUUUAAAAAAGGAAAGGAAGAGAGUCUACAAAAGGAAUUGCAAUUGCAAGGAAGGUUAAAAGUAUUGGUGUGGAGUUACCAGUAUUAAUACUAGAGACAAAACUGCGAGCUAUUGGUAUCAAUGUUGAAAAUUUUAUCUCCAAACUUGGUGUUAAGGUACGAUAAGAUACAUUAUAUAUUCUUUUAAUAAUUCUAUAUUUUUAUUCUGCAUGGUUUUCCUUAAUCAGUUGUAUUUUUUUAUAUUUUUUAAUUUCUUUAUCUUUAAAGUUGGUGUUAAGGUACGACAAGAUGCACCAUUAAAUGUCAAAAGGUGGAAAAAAAUAUCCAAAUUAGUUAAAGAGAAGAUUGUUGCACUCAUGAGGGUGAAAAAAACUUACCUUUAUUUUUUAAUCGUAAUUUUUUGUCUCAUCUUUUAUUGUUAAACUUACCUUUCUUUCAAUUGUAAUUGUCAAUUGUAUUUUUAGGAGCAUUUUGUAUUCAGCGACUCAAAAAUUAUUGAGAAUACUACAUAUUUAGCUGCUAGUGAUCUCUGUAAUACCCGAAUUUUUUUUAAUAAUAGUUAUAAUAUUAGUAAUAAUUAAUAAACGAUUUUUUAUUUAAUUUAAUAUUACUUUAUUAUUAAUUAAUUUAUUUGGGAUGAUUUAAAAAUAAAAUUUCAAUGCUAGAUAAAAAUAAGGGAGUUAUUUUUCUAUGUCUAAUUAGUUUGAUUUUCAAGAAAUUAAUUAAGUAAAUUCUUUGGGCAAUAAAUUAUAUUUUUGGUCACUAAAUUUUCUCCCUUUAUGAGUAUAUGAAUUAAAUUUUAUAUUUGAGAGUUAUAAAAGAAUUAGUAAAUAAUAUUUUAUAAAAGAAUUUAUUUAAGAAUGAAAAUUUUAAUUAGCUAAUGGUGUUAAUUUUAAUUGAAAACUAGUUAAAAUUGAUUAAUUAAAUUAAUUAAGUGUUAGGAUUAAAUUGACAACUAAUUUUGGAAUAAGAAUUAAAAAUAUAAUUAUUUUAAUUUAGGAUUUUAAAUGAAAUUUGUAUAGUUGGUAUUUUCAUAAUUAAAGGUGUCGGUAGAGGUAUUUUAGUAAUUUCACAUUUAAAAGCAAGGGUACUAUAUUUUCAAUAAUUCUAUUUUUGGCCCAAAUUAAAUAGUUAGGGGCUUAAUUGAAAAGCUAAAGAAAAGUUGAAGGGUUAAUAAGAAAUUUUAUAAGAUGAAAUUGUUAGUGAUUAAAGAAGUUAAGGGACUAAAUGAUAAAAAAAAAAGUUCAGGGAAUAAAUGUCGGUAUAGAGAAGAAGAAAAGGGGAAGGAGAUCGGGGAGAGAGGAGACCGAGCGGGGGAAGGCUGUGUGGUCAUCGAUGGCCGACCGUCUGGGUGCGGCUGGUGUCGGCAAGCAAGGCGACAGUGAAUGGCGGUGGCGUCGGCAGCAAGAAAAAGAGAGAGAGGUGUCGGUUGUCGACACCGUGUGCGGCGUUUCUAAUAGCUUUGGCAGCCGACUCGGGUGGCGAUCGAUUCACCUGAGUGUGGGCUUCCUUUUUGGAGCAGCGGCGACGCAAAUGGUGGCUGGAGUUAGAAGUUCACAGUGGAGAGAGAAAAUGGGAGGCAGUCAGAGUUUUUGGGCUUUUCUGGUGAGGGAUGGUCGAUCAGAGGAUAUAUCCGAACUCUUCUUGGCUCAAGCUUUCCAAUGGCACCGGUUUCGUGGCAAUCGAACUCCAUUUGAAAAUCGACGACCAAGAUCAUCCGUAAAUCUCUCUAGAUGAUAAAGUCGGAUCGAAAGAUCGGAAGCUAGGAUCGUCAUCAGCGUGUUGUCUCUAGUCUUUAUGCAUGUUCGGAUCGUCAAUCGGACUAUGGCGGUUGGAGGCGAGUCGACCGAAUGAUCAACCAUCUCGGUAAUUCUCUGGCCCGUAGAUUUUAGAGUUUAUUAAUGAAGAUUAUGUGUUUAAUUGUUUCUUAAAUAUUAGAAAAAAAUUAUGUGAGGGUUAUUAGUUAAAAUAAUUGUCGGACCGUCUGCCAGUUAUCGUGAUUGUGUUAUGUGGCGAAGUCGGGAAAAAUAAUCUAGUGUGGUGGCCCGACUCCCGUUAAAUAAAUUAUUGGAAUAUUUGAAGUAGACGUCCGUGCUUAGGGGAGGUUCUGCCGAAUUUUCGGUAGAAUUUACUCGAGUUAAAAUUUUUAGACAGUCAGUCCUAGGAAUCUAGACCUAGGGUUAAUUUCAAUUGUUUUAAUGUUAUUGAUUGAAUUAUUUUUCGUGAUUAGAUAAUCCGUUAGUUCGGCUCGCUCCACCCGAGGCAUCGGAGCAGAGCUAGAAGGUUGUCAGAACUGUGAGUUAAAGUCAUAUGUCUGUUUACAUGUGUCAUGCUAAGAUUUUAUGAAAUAGUUCCGAUUACAUGAAUUAAUAUUUUAAUUAUUUAUUUAUUCACUAUUGAUAUAUGUUUCAUUUUCUGCAUUAUGAUUUUAUUGAUUUCAUGUUGACUCAGGAUGGAAUGACAGUAGAACAUGCCACCUGAUGGGUUGCAUCAGGACCGCGUGCGCACCGAUAUGAAUCUGAGACAGGUAGUAAAAGGGUAAAUUUAAAAAGAUAAAUUUAGGACUUGCUCUGGUCGAGCAUUGCUCUCUGGGCGCCGGCUUGUUUGGAAAUUUAAGUAACCAGACUGGACUUAAGGACCCUGGUCGAGCUUCGCUCUCUGGGUGCUAGUCUUAUUGGAGUAAGAGAGCCGAAAGGCUAAGACUGUUAGUGAUAAUUAAGUGACCGGACUAGAUCUAAGGACCCUGGUCGAGCUUCGCUCUCUGGGCGCUAGUUUUGUUGGAAUGAGAGAGUUGAGACUGUUAGUAUUGGGGCUAGGGUUCUACUGAGGUACUCUGUCUCAUGGUAUGAAAUAAAAUUUAUUUUAUUUUAUUUUACAGAAGCAUAGCAUGACACUAUUUGAUUUUAAUUAAACAAAUGUCUUAUUGAAGUAUUUAUAUUCAUUUUGGGAUAUAUGAUUUUAACUCACUCUCGAGAUUGACAGUCUCAAUUUCACUUGUACAAAGAUUAAACUGUUGGUAUUGGGGCUAAGGUUCUACUGAGGUACUCCGUCUUGUGGUAUGAAAUAAAAUUUAUUUUAUUUUAUUUUACGGAAACAUAGCAUGACACUAUUUUAUUUUAAUGAAACAAAUAUUUUAUUGAAGUAUUUAUAUUCAUUUUGGAAUAUAUGAUUUUAACUCACUCUCGAGACUAACAUUCUCAAUUUCACUAUUUUCAAGUGUGGUUAGUUUUCAACAGUUAUUUUCUCUAGCAGCCCCACUCCUUCAUCCUCGGGUUGGAUGUAACUGAAUUCAUUAGUAUGUUAACUUUUAAAAUUCUAGAUUUUUUGCAGUAGAAAUUUUAGACUUAUCAGUUUUAAAUUUUAUAUAAAUUCAAGUCUCGCCUAAUUAUGCUGGCGGACCGAAUUUAAUUUAUAGUAUUCGUUGAUUUAAGGUUAAUUGUGGAAAAAGAGCUUUGGAUUGAGUUCGGAUUUCAAUUUGAUUGAGUUAGUGAAUAGUCAGGCUUACUACGGAAUUUGGUGGCCUUAAGCCUACCCAUUCCCUAGUGCCGGUUACGGGUUUACAAAUCUGGUCAUUAGGACUUGGCAUGCUAGAUUGCAUAAGCACUAUUAAAAGUUUGAGAUGGAUGAAGAGCGCCUUCAAAUUCGUUAUCAAGAUACAAUUGAUAAAGUUUGGAAAGAGGUUGUUGAAUAUUUUGGCAUGGAAGAGUUUAAGGUUUCCUUCUUUUUAUUUUUAAAGAUUUUAAUUAUUUUGAUAUUAAAUUUAUUGUUAAUAUUUUUCUUUUGAUCCUUAAUUUUUAAAUUUUCAUAUAGGCUAGAAGUAUAAGAAAUAAAAAAAGUCAUGCUCAACAAAUUGUGAACUACAUUUGUAGUUGAAAGUCCUUUCAAGCAAUUAACCAUGCUAUGGUAUAAAGUUACUUUUGAUGAUUUCCUUUUACUCACUUGUUGCAACAAUUUAAUUUAUUCAAUAUUUAAAUUACUUUAUGCUUAUGUAUGUGUUUUAUAGUAAGAAGCAACUGCAAAAUAACUUGAUGCAGCUUUGGAAAAUGACUCAUAUGCAGUCUAAUGGUACUUGGGAGGAUCGUCGCUCUGAAGAGAUUUAUAUGAGCAUCAAUUUUCUGUUUUUGCUUCUUGUUUCAUGCUUGUUAAGGAACUGUGUAGUUAUUAAAUAAAUUUUUACUACCUUUUCUUUUAGUUAAUCAUUUUAUGGAAAAUAAAAUGAGAUGGAUACAUAUGGCGAACUCUUGUUAUUAUGCAGGAGAGUGUAGUUGAGAUUAUCUCUGACCAACUGGAAGAGAGAGAGGAAAAAGGAGACAGUGUUACUCAAAUAACGAGAGAUCAAGCUUUUCGUAUGAUGGUUGGUGAGAAAUCUGGCUAUAUUCGAGGGCAAGAGUGAGGCUCUAAACCUGUAAAGGCUAUAACUCAAGAAUUUACUCAAGCACAAGUUGCAAGGGAGAUAAAAACUAUCAAGGCACGAAUGCGAGAGGAGAUUCAGACUGAAAUACAUGAUAAAAUUCAAGCAAAAAUUUAAGAUGAGAUUCGAGAAGAAGUCCUAACUAAAAUGUAAGCUGACAUGUCCUCCUAUAUGAAGAAAUCUGAGAUUGAGUCGAUGGUGUAGUCAAUAUUCUCUGAAAUGGCUGCUUCUCAAAGUUAUGGUAUCUGAGGUAGAGAAAAAGGUAAAAUAUUUUUAUAUUUAGUAUUGCUCUUUCUUAGUACCAAAUAUGUCUAAAGUAAUAUGAUUUGCAAACUGAAUUGCACAUGCAUAUGAAUCUAGCUUUUAUUUAUCUUUUAAUUCAUUAUUUUAGAUUGUUGAACUAUUUUUCCCAAGUCUAGUAGAUGUUCUUAAUUUUUGUUGUUUAUUUUUUCAACUCAGUCAAUUGCUUCAAAAAUGAUAAUAGAUUUCAUGCAGGCUACUUCUAUCAAAUUAGAAGUAUAGAAAGCAACACGGUUUACACAUAUUUUUCAAUUUUAGAAUGUUGUCGCUCAAAAUACAUCAUCUUACUUUGCUUGUUUGGGCCUUUAAAGGCUCUUUCUUGUUUUUGAUGUUACUAAGAGAAAUUUAUUUAUUUAAGUACUUAUUUGAACUUUGUUUAACUUUGAGGCUUCUAGUACUGUUGUUGUGAUUUUACUAUGUCCUAUGAUAGACAUCAUACUACACAUGUUUUCAUGCCUAAUUGUUUACAUUUUUGUGCAUGAUUAUCUCGUUUUAUGCUAGAAUCACAUGUCUUUUGUUUCCUUUCAUAUUUCAGGUCAUUUUCAAAGGACAUUAUCAAUAAUCGAGGGAAAUACACGAGAUUACAGACCAAAAUCUAUCAAAUUGGACGAGGAUUAGCACCCCGAGGGUUGAGCACGGCCUGGACUCCGGCCGUGCUGAAUUGCCAACUAGCUGCAUUCCAAGAAUGCCUUUUGGCACGGUUUCUAUAGCCACCAUGGCCUCCACCACGACCCGUGGUGGCUCAGCACCGGCUUGGGCAUGGCCUGGAAGAGGUUAACACAACAAAACCCUUAGGUUUAGCAUGGCCUGGACUCCGCCCGUGCUGACCAGCACGAGCUUGACCAUGCCCGUGCUGAAGAGACUAUAUAGGCAAAAAUUCGAUUUAGUGAGUGGGGGCUGGAUUUUCCUGACCUAAUUCCAAUAUACACUCAAUUCACUUGCUUUCUAGACCUCAAUUGUUUUCAACAUCGAUUUGAAGAUCAAAACAACAUUUGGGAGCAUUCAAGAGGCAAAUUAGGGUUUGAUUUUUUGGAUUGGAAAAUUAGGGUUUCUCAUCCAACUUGAAAGAGAAGGGUGUACAUGCCUUCAAUUAUCUUUUCCUUAUUUGUUCUUUAUUUUGCUUUAACUAUGAACAUGAGUAGCUAGAUCUUUUGAACCCAUUGGGGUCUUUAUUGUUGAUGGAUUGUAUUUAGUUGUUAGAUUUGUAAUUGCCAUUCUUGUAAUCUUUUUGCUAUUCAGUAAUAAAGUUUGAUUCAGUUAAUUUGAGACGUUGAAUUAAUUGUCUUUUGGGUUGUUUCUUGACAUUGAGAAAUGCUUGUUACAACUGGAAUUUGAAUAGUAAGAACUGGCAGUUAACACUUAGAGAUAAGGUUAAUUCACUCGCCGGAUUAAGAAUUAACAAUUCUUAAUAGAUCUAAAUCACGCUUAAUGCUAAUCUGUAAUAAUAUGAUAGGAAGAGAUUCCAUUAGGUUAGUGCAGGUUUAGGAAGUCGGUAAGCUCGAGAGAGGAACCGAGUUCGAUUCAGGAUUUAGGCACGGGUAAGCAAGAUUAAUAAUUUAUAAAAUCAACCUUUAGAAUUCCAUCACUUAGGUCCCCUUUGGGUUUGUUUCUCUUAUUACAAUUGUCUUUCAAUUGUCAAUUACUGUUUAUUUAUUUAUUUGCAUUCAUAAUCAUUAGUUAGUUAAUUUAGACUUCUCACACUCAAUUUUAGACUAGAUAACAUAGCGAACAAUAGUAACUCUAGGUUCACCUGAUCUCCAGGGAUACGACCUUGAUACUCACUAGUGCUAGGCCGCAUCGAUAGGUUCACUGCCUUAGGUGUAGGUUGCAUAAGUAGCCCAUCAAGUUUUUGGUGCCGUUGCUAGGGGAACCGUAACGGUAAACUAGAGUGAAUUAUUUUUGUGUUCCUUUAGUCAUUAUUUAUUUAUUUAUUUAUUUUAUUCUUUAUUCUUUAUUUUAUUGUUUUUGUUGAUUGGUGGUUGUUUAGAUUGUCGGUUUCAGGUAGUUUAUGACUAGGAGCUCUAACCCUGAUCCCAUAAAACCCUUAUCUGACACGGAGCGCUCUCUUAGAUUAUUGAAACGACGUUUACAAGCAGUUGAGGAGGAGGUCGGAGUUAUAGUUCAGGUUCAUAGAGCUAACGUGAUGGAGAACCACAACCUCUAGACCGAUGACGAUAAGAGGACGAUGUACGAGUUUGCUCGACCAUCUUUGGAUGGGAUGAAAACUAGUAUAGUCAGACCUGCUGUAGCGGCCAACAAUUUUGAGAUAAAAGCUAAUGUUAUCCAGAUGAUCCAAUAGAGCUUGCAGUUUGGAGGAUUGCCUAGUAAGGAUCUCAAUGCACAUAUCUCCAACUUCUUGGAGAUUUGUGACACAUUCAAGAUAAAUGGAACAACCGAUGAUGCUAUUCUGCUGAGAUUGUUUCCAUUUUCCUUGAGGGACAAAGCAAAGAGAUGGUUGCAAUCUCUUUCACAGUAGAUGAUUACUACCUAGAAGGCGUUGGCCGAAAAAUUUCUGUAUAAGUAUUUUUUUCCCGCAAAAACUGCUAAACUUAGAAAUGACAUAUCUUCUUUUGUGCAGUUUGAUGAUAAAAGCUUGUACAAUGCAUGGGAGAGGUUUAAGGACCUUUUGAGAUGCUGCCCACAUCACGGAUUACCAGUGUGAAUGUAGGUUCAGACCUUCUACAGUGGGUUGAACCUUACGACAAGGCAGAUGGUGGAUACUGCAGCAGGUGGGACGCUAAACAGCAAAACGCCCGAGCACGCUCAAAACUUGAUAGAGGAAAUAACCAUGAACAAUUAUCACUAGCAAUCCUCUAGGAGUCGACUAGGAAGACAGGGAUUGGUCAACUAAGUGGAUUCUACAGCAGCCUUGGCAGCUCAGGUGGAGCUUCUAACCAAAAAUAUUAAUCAACUCCAGAUGCCGGUUCAUACAGUGAACGUUAGCUACGAGUUCUAUGGUGGCUCGCACUACAAUGCGAACUAUACUGCGGGACGUAUGUUUGCUUCAUCUUCUUCUACUUUUCCAUUUGUUUCUGCUGUGUCUUCUGAUGUUGAGCAAGUUGAUUAUAUGGGGAAUGCCCCAAGGCAGUAGAACAACCCUUACAGUAACACAUACAACCUUGGCUGGCGCAAUCAUUCCAACUUCAGUUGGAGGAACAAUAAUACCCAGGGUCAACCAAGUUUUUAGAGACUUAAUCAGCAGCUGCAAUAAUAGCCAGCUGGGCCUGCACAAGCUCCUCCUCUACUAGAAAAUAAGUCAAAUUUUAAGGAGCUUAUGAUGAAGUUUGUGACGACUACCGAGAUGAGGUUCCAGCAAACUGAUAGUGCACUUAGGAAUCAGCAGGCCUCGAUUCAGAACUUGGAGACUCAGAUUGGCCAAAUCUCUAAGAUGUUGUCUGAGAGGCAAUAAGGAGCGUCCCCUAGCACCACUGAGUUUAACCCGAGGGAGCACGUGAACGCCAUCACUUUGCGUUCAGGUAAGUUAGUUUCAGCUCUUUCUAAGCCUGUUUAUGACGACUUUACUAUUGAUGUGCAGGUUGAGGCGAGCAGUAAGGUUAAGGAACCUAAGGGACAAAAGGUGAAACUGAUCCCAGUCAGGGAAUAUCAACCCAAGAUUCCUUAUCCUGCUAGACUCAAACAAGCAGAAGCGCAAGAGCAGUUCAAUAAGUUUUUGGAUAUUUUUAGACAGCUGCAUAUUAACUUGCCUUUUAUUGACGCAUUGAAUCAUAUGCCAAAGUAUGCCAAGUUCUUAAAGGACAUACUUAGCAGAAAAAGGAAGUUGGAGGAGUUAGCCUAUGUUAAGCUUAAUGAAGAGUGCUCAGCAGCGUUUCAGAGCAAGUUGCUAGAGAAAUGUCAUGAUCCAGGGAGUUUUACUAUUCCUUACACUUUAGGUAACUUGUGUGUUGAUGAUGCAUUAGCUGAUUUAGGGGCUAGCAUAAAUGUCAUGCCCACUAGUUUGUUCAAUAAGCUAGGUAUGGGGGAGGCAAAACCCACUAGGAUGUGCAUUCAAUUAGCUGACCGUUCUUUUAAGCUUCUUAGGGGGAUUGUGGAGAAUGUGCUAGUCAAGGUAGAUAAGUUCAUAUUUCCUGUGGACUUUGUGGUUAUGGAUAUGAAUAAUGAGCAUGGUGUACUGUUGAUUUUGGGGAGACCUUUCCUUGCCACGGAUAGAGCUAAAAUAGACAUAUUUGAGGGAAAGUUAGAACUUAAUGUAGGGGAUGACUGUGUUACUUUUAGUUUACCCCCAUUUGAUAGUUCUCCCACUAACCAUGUUCAUGCCAUUUGCAGUACUGAUGGAAUUGGUCUUGCAUGUGAUAAGCAACCACAUGAUGUAUAAUUGGAUGAUGCUAUACAUGUCUCGUUCCUUGUUGAUGUGUGUUAUUCAUCUAAAGAAAAUAACUUGUAUCAAUUUGAGACUUUGUACUAUGAUACACUCGAGAAGGGUAGUUGCAAGUUUGUGUAUGACAGGUCACCUAGACAGGAUUUGGAGUGGAUGAAUGGGCAUCUCGAUUCGGUGUGGAGAGCACCUUCUUGGUCAUCUAUUGCACAUUGGACCUCCUCCUUGCACUUAUAUAACUCAAGCCCCAGUUUGCAUUGAGCCCACCUUCUCAAUUUGCCCGCGAUGUAGGAAUACUGCUGUAGAGUCGAGUUAGACGACUCGAAUAAAAAGAAGCGCCUUCGGGAGGCAUUCCUGAAUCUAUUUAUGCUUUUUGAGUUUUUGGACAUCUUUUAUUUAUUUAUUUACUUUUCUAGUUAGAUAUCUCUGUUUAUUUUUAGUCUGUUUUAUUUUGAGAUGAUUUUAUUUUAUUGAACCAUUUACUAGAUGUUGCUUGGGAUGUGUUUGUUCUUGAGUUUCGCAGGAGUUAGCCUACUCGAUACUCAUAUGCAAUUUUGAGGACUAACACAUCUUAGAGUGUUAAAGCACACAUUAAGGUAGGGAGUUCGGCAACCCGAGAUGGCAAAGGAAAGGUCGGAAACCUCCUCUUUCACCACGUUUUCCGUGGCCAUCACGGGCUACAACACCAGGUUGUGCCCAUCAGCACAGCCUGAGUCAAGCCCGUGAUGAAAGAUACAUGAAGACUUGGGGGAUUUCGGUAGUUCAUCACGGCUUCCGAAGGCAUCACGGGCGGCAACACCAGGCUGUGCUGAUCAGCAUGACCAUGCCAAUUAGUGCACACUGAAGCAUAAGGGCUCAGCACGGGCCGAGUUCUGGCCGUGCUGAUCAGCAAGGUCGUGCCCUCGCUCGUGCUGACCCCCGUGCUAAUAAAAAAGAGGCUUCUAAAAUUUUUUGCUACCCCUUUUCUAAAGCUCUAAGGUGUGGGUUUCUUCUAUUUCUCUCAUCCUUUUUAACUUUCUCGGCAAUUCCAAGGAAGUCUCUUCACUUUUUGCUUUUAUUUGUUUUAAAUUUAGUUUUUCUUUUAUGCAUAUACUUUAUUUAGGAUGUGCUAGUAUGUUUUGUAGUUUUAUGUUGUUACACUGCUUUAAUAUGACCUCAGUUAGAUUUAAUUUACAUUAUUUAUUAUGUUUGCUGUGAAGUUGAUUAUGACAAUGAUAAGUGUGGGGUUUGCGGAAAUAAAGUUUGUCUAUGGCAUUCUAUUAUGAAUAAUUGUUUGAAUAAAGUUGCGUUAGUUGGUGCACGAUAAAGUAGGUUGUAUCGGUUAAUUAGUUUAUACAGGAGAUUGAGGCUUUUGUCUUUUGUUAAGUUUAAAGUCUUCUGUUAGUCGAAUCAUAGCCGUUAUGCUGUCCAAUUUUCUGCAGGAUUUUUUAUUAACUUAAUUUCUUGUACGAUUAACUAAUGAUUCAUUGCAUCAGGUAAUAUGAAGGACCGCGAUUAAUCCCAUAGGAAGCAACCAAAACGCGUCCCUACCAGCAAGCGAUCGUGUGGUGAAGGAACAUCUUCCUCCAUAGCACUAGAACCAACACCAACACAAACACCAACACCAGCCCCAGCACCGCAACAAUAACUAGUCUGAGCUCGAAGAGCACCAGCUGUGAACCCACCUGCACCUGGUCGUCAUCCAUUUUGGACAUUCCCUAAUUCAAAUAAUGAAAGUCGAUUCCAAGUCAUGAGAUGGAAGUAAGUGAUGGCGGGUCGUUGCAUCGACUUCGUAUCCCUAGAAAGAGUGGGAUUGGUUCAGGAUGUGCGCACUCUGUUCGAGACUCUGCCAUAUACGGGAUUCUUUGACAUCAUUGAGCCAACCUAUCGUGAGCUUACAAUUGAGUUCCUCAGCACCUUCUUCCUGCAGCAACAGAUCACAAACUGGCAUCAGCCCGGUGCAGUUUAUUUCAGACUUAGGGGAAGGGAGUUCUCAAUGUCAGUCCCACAAUUUGGCAUGCAUUUGGGAUUAUGGACUGAAUAGGAGAUCUCGGGGGAGGAGUAUCAGGGAUGCCUCUACAUCAACCCAAUAUCCUAUGACACCAUGUGGGACUCAUUGGUACUUAGCCCGAAAAUGUACUACCCAAGCAGGUCUAAGGCGUCUAGCCUUCCGGAUCAUCUCCGCUAUCUUUAUACCCUAUUAGCUUACACCAUUACAGGUAGAUGAGAUAGUUUUGGAGCGGUAACACAAACCGAUGUCUUCAUCCUCUGGGCUAUACAACAUCAGAAGAAGUUGUACUUGGGAUAUUUGUUGGCUCGUCAAGUCCGAUCAUUUAUAGUAGACGCCUAGAAGAAGAUGCAUUGUUGUUUUGGCCCGUACGUGAUUAGGUUAGCUAAGAGACUGGAUGUAUUGGACGAUUAUUUGUCGGAGCUUUUAAUUAUUGGUGACAUGACACCACUAGGGAUCAGACAGAUGAUAAACAUGUAGAUGAUCACGGCUACUAGACAUCCACAUGAUAUAGAGUACUAGCUUGUGAACACAAUAGUCAGGGAGGCUAGAGAGGCAGCGGCUACAGGAGCCCAAGAUCCGUUGGCUGGGAUCCUGGAUGUUAGGAUUCCUAACCAGGCUAGAGUUUUAUACCUCUAUUUGGAGCCUCAUCCUCUUAUUCUACCGGGACAUCGAGUGCUCAGAUUAGUGCUUUGGCUGAUGGACUAGAUCGAGUUUGCGAUCUACAGCAGCAUCAUCAUACUCAAUUUGUGCAGUUUCAAAAGGAGACUAGGGCACAGCUUGGCGGAAUGAACACCGUGCUUCAGCAGCUAAUGAACGGGUUGGAGAGGCAGGCCACCCAGACAGACGUCUUAGUGGAGCAGAUGAAAAAGUUGAUGGACGCUAGAGCACAAAAUCAGCGGUUCAUCGAUGAUAUGGAGUUCGAUCUGGCAGGAUGCUUUAUGGACCUUGAUCCACUACAACCGCCUCCUUUAGUGACUUUCCCUGCUUUUCAUCUUCCAGCAAAUCCAAGCAGUGAAGAUACACCAUCAGCAGACUCCUAGUAGAAAAUAAUUGUGCAACUUUUCUUUUUCCUUUUUCUUUUUACUUUGUUUCCUUUAUUUUAUUUUAUUUUAUUUUCUUGCUUUUUGUAUGCUUAAUUUUAUGUUAUUUCCUUUUAUUUACCUUUUUUUUAAUGUUAAGUUAUUUUAGUAGAACACUAUGCUUUUCCAAUUUGAAAACUAAGCAUGAUCUUUAAUAACUAUGAUGUGCGAGUCAUAUGCUUACCCAGUUUUAAUCUUUCUAAUACUGUGGACAGUGUUAUACUCAAGUGUGGGGUAGGUACCUUCGUACAUUAUUAUCUUGAAUUUUGUUUCAAUCGAGUAGUUGAUGAUUUUUCUCUUUUGAAUAGAUGCCCUUAUAGCUUUUAUCGAAUCUUGUUGGAAGAAGGAAAUGAACGAAUCUCUUAAUUUCAAUUGAGCCAGGUAAAACUGGUGUUUUUUCUUAAUUUUUCCAUUUUACUUUAUCUUGGAAAUAGAACACUGUUAAUAUUGCUGCUAUUAUUAUGAUUGAUUGUUUAAACUUUGGUUUGAGAGUUCAUGCAAUUUUGACCCACUCAAAUGGUGAGGUUUUGAGCCAAAUUGGGCAUCAUUAUUUUUUAUGCUCCUUUUGUUGUUGUUUAGUGAGCAUUUGUACGGAAUCUUUAUUUCUAGAACUUGCUUUGUGAUUCCUUUUGAGAUUACAUGAAUUUUUUAUAGUCAUGAGAUGAUUUGGGCACUUAGGAUUUACAUAAUUUGGGCAAAAGUCUAACCCUGUUUUUCUCAUAGUGAACCAAUUUUGAGCCUUAGCCUUUUCUUUCGUUGUAAUUCAUCUUUGACACUCACUUUAUCACUUCUAUUCAUUUUACCAUUAUUUCUACCAUUGUGGUUGGAAAUCAUGUAAGUUUAUGCUACAUUUCAUUUUGGAUCAAUUUGCAUUCUUUUUAUAUAUAAUCAUUAAGUUGCUAGAUUUUUCGUAGAUGCUCCCUUCAAUCCAAAAUUGGAUAUUCAUUCUUAUUGUUUAUAUCAAUAACCAUAGCAGCUCCUACAUAAGCUGUUGUAAUAUAUAUACAUAGUAUAUAUCAAAAAAAAAAGAAGAGAAUUUAAUAUUCUUUUAGUUCAUUUCGAGCAUCAUCUUAUUGUUGGAGCAACUUAGUAUUCAUUUUUGGUACAACAUUUGAUCCUUGGCUAUUUUCUUGCAUUACCUAUAUAAUUUUCCAGCAACUUUUAGCCUACUUUCCAUAUUUCUCCAUACCCUACCUUAACCCCAUUACAACCUGGCUUAAGACCCUUUGAUCAUUGAUUAUUGAUUAUUUCACAGUAGUGGAGAUUGGAUCUAUAAGCAAGCUUAUAGUAAGCACUUUUUUAUGUAUUUUUGCGUUGAGAGCUUGGCGAUCUUCUUUCACCUAUAUACACUUGUGUGUUUCGAGUGACAUCUUGUGAGGCAUGGUUCUCAAUUUCUCAGUUUGAAUGGUUUAUCAUUUUAAUUUUAGUAGUUUUAUUAACUUUGUUCUCUCUCUUAAGGAUUUAGUGAUUUGGGGAUUUUGGAGAAAUUCAUUACGGAGUUUUGAGAUUUGUUUUGAGCUAACUUCAUGCGAAGUAUUUGAUUGAGUUAUUUGGUAUCUGUUUGAGGAGUAAGUUGUUGAUUGCUUGAGGGCAAGCAAAAGCUUAAGUGUGGGGUGAUUUGAUAGACAUCAUACUACACAUGUUUUCAUGCCCAAUUGUUUACAUUUUUGUGCAUGAUUAUCUCGUUUUAUGCUAGAAUCACCUGUCUUCUGUUUUCUUUCAUGUUUCAGGUCAUUUUCAAAGGACACUAUCAACAAUCGAGGGAAAUACGCGUGAUUACGGAUUAGAAUCCAUCAAAUUGGACGAGGACUAGCACCCCGAGGGUUGAGCAUGGCCUGGACACCGGCCGUACUGAAUUGCCAACUAGCUGCCUUCCAAGAGUGCUUUUGGCAAGGUUUCCAUAGCCACCACGGCCUCCACCACGGCCCGUGGUGGCUCAGCACCGGCUUGGGCAUGGCCUGGAAGAGGUCAACACAACGGAACCCUUAGGUUCAGCACGGUUUGGACUCCGCCCGUGCUGAACAGCACAGGCUUGACCACGGCCGUGCUGAAGAGAUUAUAUAGGUAAAAAUUCGAUUUGGUGAGUGAGGACUGGUUUUUCCUGACCUAAUUCCAAUAUACACUCAAUUCACUUGCUUUCUAGACCUCAAUUGUCGACUUUGGGAGAUCAAAUUCAUUAAUUGAGGGAGGAUUACACUUUUUUUCAACAUGAUUUGAAGAUCAAAACAACAUUUGGGAGCAUUCAAGAGACAAAUUAGGGUUUGAUAUUUUGGAUUAGAAAAUUAGGGUUUCUCAUCCAACUUGAAAGAGAAUGGUGUACAUGCCUUCAAUUCUCUGUUCCUUAUUUGUUCCUUAUUUUGCUUUAACUAUGAACAUGAGUAGCUAGAUCUUUUGAAUCCAUUGGGGUCUUUAUUGUUGAUAGAUUGUGCUUAGUUGUUAAAUUUGUAAUUGUCAUUCUUGUAAUCUUUUUGCUAUUCAGUAAUAAAGUUUGAUUCAGUUAAUUUGAGACGUUGAAUUAAUUGUCUUUUGGGUUGUUUCUUGACAUUGAGAAAUGCUUGUUACAACUGGAAUUUGAAUAGUAAGAACUGGUAGUUAACACUUAGAGAUAAGGUUAAUUCACUACUCGCCGGAUUAAGAAUUAACAACUCUUAAUAGAUCUAAAUCAAACUUAAUGCUAAUCUGUAAUAAUAUGAUAGGAAGAGAUUCCAUUAGGUUAGUGCAAGUUUAGGAAGUUGGUAAGCUCGAGAAUGGGCCCGAGUUCGAUUCAGGAUUUAGGCACGGGUAAGCAAGAUUAGUAAUUUAUAAAUUCAACCUUUAGAAUUCCAUCACUUAGGUCCCCUUUGAAUUUGUUUCUCUUGUUGUGGUUGUCUUUCAAUUGCUAUUUAUUUAUUUAUUUGCAUUCAUAAUCAUUAGCUAGUUAAUUUAGACUUCUCACACUCAAUUUCAGACUAGAUAACAUAGUGAAUAGUAGUAACUCUAGGUUCACCCGAUCUCCAGGGAUACAACCUUGAUACUCACUAGUGCUAGGCCGCAUCGAUAGAUUUACUGCCUUAUGUGUAUGUUGCAUAAGUAGUCCAUCAUCCUCUAAUUGAGAAAGAAAUAUUAUUAUAAUUUUUACAUUUUUUUAAUGAACAGAUCAAGUUUCUUGACUUGAAAUUGUAUUGAUUUGUGAAAUUUUUAUUAGAAAUGAAAGCAUAAAGCUAAAUUAAUUUGCUACUUAUAAUCACUUUUUUAUGUGCAAAUUUCAAUCUUUCAGUAGCAAAAUUAAUUGCUGCUGAUAUUGAACUUUUAGUAAUAAAUAACACUUUUGUUGUCAGUUUAUAACUUUUAGAAGCAGAAUUAGUUGCUACUAAUAAUCAAUUUUUAAUAAUGAAAUAAAAUUUCUAGUGCUAAUGCUAUACUUUUGGCAACAAAAAUAGAUGCUAUCAAAAAUAAUAUUUUGACAAUAAUAAAAUUUUGAAUUUAGCUACUGAAUUCAAAAUAUUAGAAACAAAACUUAUUGUUACUAAUAUUACUAUUUUGAUAGCAACUCAAAUUUUACUACAAAUUACUUGCGGUAACAUUUCUUUAGCAGCAACAUGCCACAACCUUUAUAUAUUUUUUGUACUUUUAGAAGCAAAAAUUGAUACUGCUAAUUUCAGUAUUUCUUGUAUAAUAUAAAAUAAUUAUCUAAAAUAUCAAAUAUAAUUAAUAAUACUAAAAAUAUUAAUUAUUAUCAAUUAUGGGUAUGUUAAAAACGGGUUUGGAUCAAACCCAUCAUAGAUGAUCCGAUCCAAAUCUCAACGAUUCAAAUAAUCCAAAUUGGUCCGAAAUGAACUUAACUAAAAUUUUCCAAUUUAAUUCGAUUUAAUUAAAAUAGUACAUUUGCUCGGUUAAACUUCCUCCAUUAAAUGAAUAAAAUUUGUGGGAAGAAGCUUUUUCAGGUUAUCUUGAAUACUUGUGUAAAAGUUUAUUAUAAUUUAUCAUUCGAAAUUUCUUAUAUGUUUAAAAAUGAUGAUAGUUUGCAAUGGUCUAAACAACUACCAUAACACCUAUUGCCCCUGACUGUACACUUUGUCUAAAACCAUACCAAUAGAUAACAGUAAAUAAAUAAAUAAACAAGUGCUGCAUUUUUAAGACGCAGGAGUAGUGGUGUUGAAAGUCCAAAAUCCUCCGAUGUUAAUGAGACUAUAUUGACUGUGGUUCCACACAUAUUUAUUUUCAAAAUGAUUCCCCGGAGAAAGAAAUAUUUACUUGAGGUAACAAAUAUGUAUUUUUAUAUAAUUUUGUAAACUAUUUACUCUAUUAUUUUUAUUAAUUAUAUGUGUUUUUAUUUAUUUUUUAUAUUCCAAGCCCAGUUUAUUAUGCCAAAUGAAUCUUUUAAAAUUAUUUUAUUUUCUUAUGAUUAAAAUUAGAAUAAAUUAUUAAAACCCUUUUGAGAUAAUAUGAAAUAUAUAAAUCAUUCUCUCAUUUAUAGUAAUAAAUCAUGAUCUCUUCAAAGGUUUAAUUUAAUAUAUGAUUCGCCAUUCAUUAAUCAAAGUAUAUUAUAUUUUAAAAUUCUAAACUACUCUUGAAAUAUGUUAUUGUCUUUUCUCUCAUUUAUGAUAUAAUAUACUAAUAGGAGCACAGUAAUUUAUUCUUAAAAUUAUAUAAAUUCGUUAUUAAUAAUUUAUUAACAGAUUUAAAAAUUAAAAAUAUUAUUUUAAAUAUUUUUAUCUUAUUUAAUCAUGAUAAAUAACUCUUUUCAUAUCAUAACAACAACAAAAAUAAAUAACUCUUUUACAGAUAUUUCAUUUUAUAUAAUAAAUAAUUAUAUAAAUUAAUUUUAAUAUUCCUUAUUAAGUUUUUUAAAUAUUAAUUUCUAAAACUUAAAAUUUUUUUGACACGUGUAUUUAUUUCGUAGAUUUUUUAUUUUGACAUAUGUACUAUUUUUUACACGUAGAAUUUUAUAAUUUUUUAUAAUUAAUUUAUUAAUUAAUAAGUUAUAUUUCUAAUUGAACGCUGACUCUAAUUCUAUUAAAUAGUAUAUUAAAUAUAUUUUAAUAUUAUAUUAAUUAAUAAAUUAGUUUUCAAUUAGAUAAUAAUUCUAACUUUAAAAAAUAAAAUCUUCAAUUAUAUUUUUAAUAUUAUAUUCAAUAAUAAAUUAAUUUAAUAAUAGAUUUUUAAUUUUAAAAAGUAGUAAUAUCAAUUUAUAUAGUAUCAAAAUUAAUUAGUAGAUAAUUUUUAGAAUAAUUUUUAUAUCAUGCAUUAAUAAAAUUUUAGAAUUUUAAAAGAAUUAAACAUAUUUAAAAUAGUUAGUUUGCUUAUUUUUUAAAAUCUUAUAAAUUAAUAUUAAAUAUUAAAUAUUUAUUAAAUUAUAUUUAUAAACUUGAUUUUAUAAUCAAACUAAUAAUAACGGUCAUGCAACAUACGGGUAAACGAUUAAUAUAUAUUAAUUUUUAAGAUCUAAAAUCUUUUUGACACGUGUGGUUAAUUUUUGAUACAUAAAUUUUUUAUGUUGAUAUGUGUAUUAUUUUUGACGCAUAAAAUUUAAAUUUAUAUCUAAUUUUAUAGUUUUUUCUGUUAAUUUAUUAAUUAAUAAGUUACAUUUCUAAUCAAACACUAACACUAAUUUUAAAAUAUAACAUAUUAAUUAUAUUUUAAUAUUAUAUUAACUAAUAAAUAAUUUUCUAAUCAAAUAAUAAUAUUAAUUCUAUUCUAAAAAAUAGCAUAUUAAUUAUAUUUUAAUAUUAUAUUAACUAAUAAAUUAAUUUUAAAAUUAAAUAAUAAUUUUAAUUCUAAAAAAUAACAUCUUAAAUUAUAUUAUUAAUAUUAUAUUUUAAAAUAAAAUAAUUUUUAAUUAUAUAAUAAAUAUUUAAUUCUAAGAAUAAUAAUAUUAAGUUAUAUAAUAUCAAAAUUAAUUAAUAAAUAUUUAUAAAAUUUUUAUAUUAUUAUAUUAAUAAAAUUUAAAAAUUUAAAAAGAUUAAAAAUAUCUAAAAUAGUAAAUUUAUCUAUUUUUUACAAUAUAAAUUAAUAUUAAAUAUUAAAUUUUUCUUAAAUUAUACCUAUUAAUAAUAAUAACAAUAUUAUAAUACCAGUUAUAUCAUUAAAAAGGAAUUGAUAACUGACCAAUCCCAAAAAGAGCCCUUACUACCGGCGCUCUUUGCGAUGUAUUUGUCUUUCUAUUCUAUACUGAACGCCAAGUCUAUAGCUGGUGGCCAAGUUAAGGUAGGUACUUCAUGUUUUCCUUUAUGUAAUUGCGUUUUCUUCUUUUCUUCUUUUUUGGCUGACAUCUCCAGAUCUCCAUUUGUAUUCAAUCCUUUGUCUUCAUAGUGUUUGUUAAUUUGUGUCAAUGAAGGAUUUACUGAUGAUAUAUUUCAUACAUAUAUGUUAUAAACCUUUCAUUGUUAUUAGAAAUGAAAACCAGCUUUUUGUUGCAUAAAUUUUAGUUGUAAAAGAACAUCAUCAAUGCAAUAAGUGAAAAAUGUUUUUGGGUUUUUUAAUUCCUAUAUAGACUAAUUCAAUUGUUAGUUUAAGUUAAUAAUAAGAAACUUGUGCUGAUAUGGCACAUAUAUAUGGUCUUGUUUGAUCAUGUCGAAAAAUUCAAUUCUGUUGCAUGAUUUCAAGUCUUUUAAAAUGCCUUUUUUGUUUUUGAUUGAAAGAAUUGAGUUCUAGCGACUGUAAGUUUUCCAAACAUGAGAAUUGAUUAAAAGAAUUCAAUUGAAUUGAAUUUUUGCAUGUAUAGACUUUCCAAGCAUGAUUUAGCUUGCUAAAAUUUAUAUUUUCUUUCUCUAGUUGCUCUCUUGAUGUUGAAAAUUUGAAAUUUUUUUUUGUUGAUAUUGAAUUAAUAAGUUGAUUUGAUGAUGGAUGCAUUUGUAGAUGUUUCUAUAUUUCCUUUCACUAUUUGUACUCUGUUCAACUGGUUCAAACCUCUGGUUUGGUUUUGAAAACAUUUGGGACUAUGCUAGUUAAACAGACGACUAUGAAACAGAUUUUCUUGCGUGCAAGUAGUACUGAGAUUCUGGCAUUUCAUUGAUAUUGCUCUCAUUUUUCAGGCUUUUCGUUUUAUUCCAAGUGUAUUAGAAGACUCCUUUUCCUCCUGUUAACAGUAAUGUCGAAGCAUGGUGGAAGCAAAUCGAAGGCAUGGCAUGGCUUUCAAAACUGUCGGGUGCCAGUUCCAGUCACUUGUCUGGUUCUGAUAGUCUUAUGUUUAAUAAUGUUCUUUCGCUAUCAUGGCAGAAGGAGCUAUUCUUCUCCUGGAUCUACAAUGCAGAGAUGGAAUACUUUCGAGUCUGUGGAGUUUCAUCCAACUAUAGAGUUUAGAAAUGGCACAGAUGUGAUCUGGCAAAUACCUGAUUCGCCCAAAGCAGUUCUCUUUCUGGCUCAUGGAUGUAAUGGCAGAGCUGUUAACUUUUGGGACAGAUCUCAUUACUGCCCUAACUGCAUUGGCUUGCCUGAGGAAAGACUACUUGUUCUUCAUGCACUUGCUAAUAAAUUUGCAGUUCUUACGAUAUCAAGCGCAGGUAGGUGCUGGACUUUUGGGGAAGAAAUGCUAGUUGUUAAGAAUAUUAUAAAAUCGUGGGUAAGGAGGCAUAAGCUUGAAAAUAUUCCACUUGUUGCUUUGGGGGCUUCUUCCGGUGGAUACUUUGUUUCUGCACUUGCCACCAUUUUGAGAUUUAGCAGCAUUACAGUUAUGAUUGCUGAAGGGGUAUUUAAUCAAAUUGAUGUUGCACAAAACUAUCCGCCAACACUUUUUGUGCAUAUGCCCAAAGAUUUACCUAGGCAGCAAAAGAUAAGUGAAUCAGUAAAAUUUCUGAAGAAUAAAGGCAUUGACGUUGCUGAGGUUGAGUGCAUUGAAUUCCCCCUGUCGCCAAGUUUCUUAGGUGAUAGAAUUCCUGGACUUGAUCAAACUAUUUCUGCUAAGUUGUUUGAGUUAUUUCAGAACAGGGGCUUCAUUGAUAAGAACAGAUAUAUGAAGAAAGAUGGGCGGGCUACACGAUGGAAAGCAGCUCUCCGUGAAACUAAGGACUUUGUGCUGGAUAAGAAUCUGGUCCAACAUGUGCAGGAGGAGCUAAAUCUUGCAUUUGCAUACCAUGAGAUGACCAGCUUGCAGUCAGAGCAGAUUUUUAAAUGGUUUGAAUCUCAUAUGGAGUAAUCAGGAGUCAGGUUAUCAUCAUGACACAUUCUUUCUUCCUCAAAUUUUGAGAGAAAACUCCCAACCAAAGUUUGUAGUGGAAUAAACAUAAAAAACUUUCAAUCCAAGUGAAGAGCGGAUUGCAAUUAAAAUCACCUGAUUUAGCAUCAAAAUUGUUAUCUUUCCCUCCCGGUUCAAAUAAGGAAAGAAGGAAGUCAACAUUUGAAUCUCUUAUACCCUGCAAUGGCAGUGCUUCACUGUUGGGCUAUUUGUACAAGGGAAUUACUGGAUGGAAUCAGAAAAUGUGCCGGGCAACUCCAUUGUGAUAAGACUAGGCACAAGCUCAAUAUUCCGAUUCUCAAUAAUUUGGAAUUUCUAUUGACUCCAACUAGACCUGUUCAUAGGCCGGGCCUGGGCGGGCUCGGGCCAGGCCUGACGGGGCUCGGGCCAGGCCUGACCGGGCUUGACUUUAUUUUGAACAAGCCCGAGCCCGUCCAAGCCCGAGAAUUUUUUAAUAUCUCUCAGCCUAAGCCCGAAUUCGAAUUUUUUUAAAAAGCUCGGUCCGACCCGACCAAUUGUUAAACCUGUAAAUACGGGUCUGUGCAAGUUCGGGUCGGGCGGGCGGGUUUGGGUCGGGCUUGAGUUUAGUUUUAUUUAAAUAUAUUAUUAAUAACAAUAAAAUUAUAGAUAAAAAUAAUAGGUAGCUAAGUGGUAUUUAGCACUUAAUUAUAAAUUGAAGGUCACAAGUUCAAAUGUUAGAUAAGGCAUUUUUUUUUUCUAAUUAAACUAAACAUCGGGCCGGGCCGGGCCAGACUUGGAUUUUUAUAUAAAUUCUAAGCCCGGCCUAAAAAGUUUGGACUUUUUAUGAGUUUGAGCCGGGCCGGACUUAUAUAUAAAAAUUAUUAUCCAAACCCGGCUCGAAGAGUACGGGCCUGGACAGGCCGGGUGGAUAUCCAGACCCAUGAACACGUUUAACUCCAACUAGUUGCUUACAUGCACGCAGAUAUAUCGUAGUUUAACCACUACAGCUAACUUGAGAUGUAUUAUUGAAAAACAAUAAAAAGUGUAUCAUAGAGCAUUCUGAAAGUUUUUUUUUAUGACAGUGGUAUGAUUAAUGAAUUAUAUUCAUAUAAAUUAGGUACAAGAAUGAGAGUAUAGCAAUUACAGAACAUUUAUAAUAUUCUACACUGCGAUUAAAGUAAUAACUAAUGGCCGUGAUUUAUUGUUCUUAGGUGGGAGAGUCGUAAAUUUACCACAGAAAAAAGGAAGAGAAGGUGUUAAAUUGUUCAGCGCUGGUUUCUUCUCAAGCUUAUCAGUCUGAAAGAAAACAAAAGGAGCGCCAAUCAGAUUUAAGGUAAUAUCUAGCACCCCUGUAUCUUGAGAUUGAGAUUUUAUUUCUCAUGAGAAAGAGGGAAAACAUACAUUUCAGAGAAUACCUAAUAAUUUCUCUUUGACAAUUGACCAUCUUAUGUGUAUGCCAGGCUACAACUUGAGCAUAUCUUAAUCUAACAAUUUUAUCAUAUUACAACUGAGGCUAAAAUUCAACUGAAGCCGAACUGAUUUUUGGCUAAUUUGGAUUUGAUUCGUCUAUUAUCAAGCCAAGUCUAUUAAAUUCCUUUCAUGUCUCAUGAGUACAAACGAGCUUAAUCAAGUCUAAACGAGUUCAAUGAUUACGAAUUAAAAUCAACUUAUUCAUCAAAUCUAAUUAAAAAAGUAAAUAUUUGCAUAAAAAGUAUAAAAUGUUUAAUAAAAUUUAUAACCUUAUUCUGAUAUAUAUAUUUAAAUAGGUACUUUCAUAUCUAAUAUAAGAAAAAAUAUUUAAUUUUAUAUUCAAAUUGCAAGCUAUUAAUACAUUAAUUUACAAGCUAGCUCACGAGCCGGAUUACGAGUUUAACGAGCCAAGUUUUGCCUAACUUGACUUUGGCUCAUUUAAAGUAUUUCAUUAAAAGAGUUCAAGCAAACUUUUACUAAUUUAAGAUCUGAGUAGCUCACAAGUAGCUCGACUUAUUUGUAAUUAUAAGUAUCUGAUGCUAGGCUUAGUUCAUGUACUCCCGAACCUUUGCUUCCUUCUUCUUCCCUGUGGUCCCUACCGAGUGCCAACUUUUCUUUUUCCUAGUCCCACUCCUAUCAUGUGGGUUGGUAAAGCUGUAUAUGUGCCUUAAUUGAUAUGCUGACUAUCCUUAUAUCUUUGUGUUUAUAGUGUAAGUUGAACUUUUAAUCAAAAAGGACUGUAAGUUAAUGGUUUUAAACGGUUGAGAAUUGUUUUCUUUCUGAUGAGGCAUUUAAGUUUGUAAAUGUGGCAAUUAAGUGUAUUACAGUGCUUAUUCAAUGUGCUUUGUUUUCUCUUUCCCUCUCUCAUUAUUGUUGGCAUAUCAGUUUUCAAUGAUUUAAAAGAUGUUGGUGUCCUAUUAUUGCAGAUGUCUUAAGCCAACUCAUAUGAUCAUUGUCGGACAUGAUUUCAUCCUCCAUAUAAUUAAUGCUAUAAUUGCCAUUUUAAUCAUGUUUUAAUGCUAGUAUGGAGAUUCUUAAUAUAUUGUUUAACCAUCUACCGAACAGUCUUAUAUAAUCCCCAUCCUCAAGUCACUCCUUUUAGAUUUUCAUUAGCUGUGAGAAUGUUUCAGAAAAUUAGAAGUGUUCUUUUUUCUCAUACCAAGACUCUUGGCCCUGUAAAAUUGUAGCUUUUGUGCACAUGAUUGCCAAGUGGAGAGGACACAAACCUUAAACAGAUUGAACAUGUAUAUGUAUCAGAACUUGGUUAUCCCGACCAGAUUUUAGAAUCUUACUACUCAAGAAUCAUGUUAUAUGGCUAAACACUAGAACCAAGAGAACUACCCUUUCUCUCUCUCAAGAGAUUAACAAAGUGUUUCCUGGGACUUGUGAUAAUGCAAUGUUGUUCUGGACCUCUUAGUAUUGGAAAUUAGGAAAUGGUCGUGCCGACCUUGCAAGUGGUUCGCACAUUGACACCAUCCUUAGAUCAAAUAGUUUGUGUGAGAAUAGUCUGAUCAGACAAUGGUAUGAGCUUGGCACUCUUCUACUAUUCUAGCCAAUAGAUAGAACCAGAAAAAAUUCCAGCUACGGAGUUAAGGCUCCAUUCUUUAUCCUGAUUUCGAGACUUCUAGUAAACCAUAUCUGAAAAUUGAAAAGAAAAAUGAGUUUGAGCAUGCAUGGAUAAGAGAUGAGCUGAUGACUUAAAUUUCUUGCAUAUAUGCGAGCUACAGCUAGCUGGCCAGUAGUAAUGAAUAUCUUCAUGCACUAGUGUCUGCAUUUACUACUGCAUUACAAAACGAAUUCUCAUUUACUCAUAAAGAUGCCAGCUCUGCAUUAUGGUCUACUUGUUAAUUAAUAUGACAGUGGCUUUAAAUUUAAAAUUUUUCCCCCCUUGUCAUGGCACGCCUGUCACGCAACUGGAUCAUAGCUAAGGAACCUUAGUGUAUAUAUAUAUAUAUAUAUAUAUAAUAUAAACUGCAAAAUUUGACAACUGAAUUUUUGUGCUUUAUUUCCUGCAAAUUCCUUCUGGGCAUGCUUCCUAGAGUUUCUUGUGUUUGAUGUGUUGUAUUCAUAUUCUCUCGCCACCUUUUAUAAGUGUAUUUUAUAUUCUUUUACCGUAAAUUUUUUUUAAUAACUAUUCUAUACUUAUCACUGGUGCAGAAUUGUAGAGUUUAAUACAGCAGCGGUAGCCAUAAAUCCUAAUUCAAAUAAGGAAUCUGUUAGUUCUUGCUUUCUUUCUUGCAUUGAUUUCUUGUUGUACUUCCUUUAAGUGACAUCUCAUCCUGAACAGAAUUCAUGUAUUUAGCAAGUAAAUAUUAUUUUGGUUGCAUUUAUUUUUGUAAACUCAAGAUUAGAGAGCAUAAUCUAUAGAAGUAAAAUAUCACAACUAGAGUAACAAAUUUAUAUAAUUAUGAAAAAAGAAAGUGUAAUAUAGAUAAGAGAUCUAGUUAUUUCUCCCGUUGCUUAGAUUUUUAAUAAUAUGUAUGGCAUGUAUAGUUACAAAAAGAAAGAUCUAGUUAGGAGUAGAUGACACUAUGCACUACUAUAAUUUAACGACUGCACCCAUAGACUUGAGAUAGAUAUGAAGUUUGAGUUUCUCUACCCUUAUUUAUAAAUGAAAAGUUAUUGUAAUUUAAUGAUUGAUAAUGAGGAUAAAUUAAUGGAAUUUAAAGUAAAUUAAGCAGUGGUAAAUCUUAUUUAUAAUAAAUAAGACAUCAACUUAAAAGCGUCAAAAUGUUUCAAGACUGUCUAUCCCCAUGACUGUAAUAAUAAUAAUAAUAACAAUAAUAACAUCAAAGAUAUCUCUUAAUUAAGAUGCUACCAACAUGUAAUAGUAAAACCUCCAACUGACAAGCACACACACCACAGGAUAUUAAAAAUCAAUGCUGAUCACUUCCUCAGUUUCUAGGCUUGAGUCUGCCUUCAUUGGCCAGCUUAAAGAGGUGUCCUUGAGCAGCUGCAACCUUGUUGGAGCCUAGUGCAGCAAUGAAACUCUCCCUUACUUGCCUUGUUGUGAAAGGAAACUUGUUGCUAACCAUGGAGUUGAGCAAGGAAGCAGUCCCUUCUCUGUAGAGUGUUCCAUACCCAUCAGUACGGGUAUUUGAAAGUGCUUGCUGCAAGCUCAUACUUGCUCCCAACCCUGGCACACUAGUCGUUCCAAAUGCACUGCCUACUGUUCCCCACCAGCCCAGGAGUCCCCAUAUUAUAGCAGGGUGAGUUCUCCAGUAACUGUAAACAAACAAGCAUGAAUGCAUGUCAAAACUAUUUAAUUUUUAAGUUAAAAACUGCAGCACCAAAGAUAAGGAAUGAGUUUAGCUAAACGGAUGGAUCUGAAUGCACAAACUUUCAGGCUGGAGAACACAGUUCCUCAAACAAUCAUGUGAAGCCUCAGGAGUUUGUGCACCCAAGGCCUACUAUGCCUAGGAAAAACCGGCUCAACAUAUUUCUCAUUGAGUUACUUAAAUUGCAUGGUUAAGUUUGCAUGUCUUACAGUUUUCAUUAGAGAGAAGACUUACUUGCAACUGAAAGGUGAGUUAGGGUCAGGACUGAAUGGCGGUGAGGGAACGUAGGGAGUGGUUGGGGUUGGAGUUGUGGGUGUUGGAACGUAAGGAGUGGUUGGAGUUGGGGUAACAGGAGUUGGGGUAACAGGUGUUGGGGUACUACCACCGGUUGGAGGAGAAGGAGGAUAGUAACUACCACCUCCUGAAGGAGGAUGUGAUGGAGUUGAUGGUGGGGUUCCACAAUUUCCAUUUGACGGGGAUGGAUUUGAUGGGGUAGAGUGGGUGGGUGGUGAGCCACCAUAGCUUCCUCCACCAGAACCAUGUGAAGGUGUACCAUGUGAUGGUGUAGGUACAUGGGAAUGGCUGCCGUGUGAACCUGCCAUUAGAGCAUAUUAUACAAUCAGUUAGUAGAGGUUGAAAAAAAAAAAAAACUAAAAAUAAACAUUAGGCACUUGACAAGCUAAGGAUGCUGUUACAAGUAAUAAAAGAAACAAAAUCGGAGAAAGAGAGGUACCUGUUGGAGGACUUCCUGCAUGUGGGUCUGGAGAGUAGUAAUUCUUCUGAUCUUCAUAGGUUGUGGUAGCCAUUACAGGAACAAGGAAGCUCUGAGAAAUCAAGCCAGCAGCAAAAACCCACAUCAAAACUGAUGCGUGCUGUUUGCAUUUCUCCUUCCCCAUGAUUAGUGUAUAGGUUUAAGAACACAAGUAAGAAUAAGAAGAAGAAGAAGAAGAAGAGAGAUUUUGAAUGGUUCAGUGCAGAGAGAAGGGAGCAGAGUGUGAUUAUAUAGGAUUGACAGAUAGUGAGAAGUAAAUAUUGGCAGGUCAAGGAGUAGGGUGUUAGUUGAUGUGCUGCAGAAGGGAAUUAAUAUGUAGUAUUUAUGACUUGCACCAUUGCAAUAAAGCUAUAUAUGUAGAGACAGUAAGCUCAAUACACUUCUAUACAUCUCUCUCUCUCUCUCUCUCUUACUCGGUACAUAUGCUAAAAGAAUAGUGCUUAAUCCUUCAAAUUAGAGUAAUUGUUAAUGUGAUAUCAUACUUCAAGUUGUUAGUGUUCUAUUUGCUUAGAUUAUGCUAUAAUCACUUAAUUUUUACAUUUAUAUUGAUUAAAAACAUUAAUUUUAAUCUUAAUUAAAAUUAAAGUUACUGAAAUCCUACAAAAUCUGAGAUGAUCAAACAACAGCAACAGGUAAUAAAUUUGAUUUCUAUAGACCCAUAUGAUAUUUUGUCACAAGAAAGAGAGUUUUAUCCAUAGCAUAAUGAAAGUUGUAAUAAUCUUUAAUCAUAAGAUGAUAGGAACUGUUUCUGAGAAGAUAAUUUUUUAUUGUACUUGCUGAUGAAAAUGAUUAUCUGAAAGUGCUUCACUAUAUAUAUAUACACACAUAUAUAUAUAUAUACUGUUCACAAAUAAAUGGAGAAUUAAUUAUUAUUAUAUUUGGUUAUUUAAUUUUUUAAAAAUAAAAGGCAUAUUCUUUUUAUUUUCUUUAAAGAAGGUGAAAUUGAUUAAAAAUGAGUGAUAAAUAUAAUAAUCAGACGGAUUAAAGUCCCAACAGAACCGUCGUAACCUCAAAAGCCACGUCUCUUGGUCCGCAUUCUUGACUAGGUUGGUUCCAGGAUAAAUUAAGGAGUAAAAGAAAAUAAAAGAAGAGGGAAGAAAAGUCAGGUUCGUCUGGAUCCAAAUAAACUUGCAACAUUUGUUUCCUGUUAAAGAUGGGUGGUCUACAGUUAUUAGUCUACCUAAUUCAUUAGUUUCUUCUGUUCUGUUCAAAAACAAGAUUCAUUUAGUUUCCAAUUUUUGCCUUCACUUGCUCAAACAAGACAACACACGGUGGAAGAAUUCGAGACCAGAUGGACCAAUAUAUCAAAGUGUCAUAGGAUAUGAGCAAAUUGUUUUAGCAAUAAACACUAAUUCAUAAAUAUAGUUAAAAGAAAUUGAUAUUGAUCGGUUUGUAACAUCCAAAAUCUUCAUGAUUAAAUUAUAGAAAGUCUAAUGCAAAAAUAACUUAAUUACUUUUAUUAAAGAUUAUAUAUAUUUUUAGUUUAUUUUAAUAUAGUAUUUAAAAUUAAUUUAGAGCGUGUCAUACAUUGAACUUUAGAAAAAAAAUUCUAAAAAAAUGACUUAGUUUUAUAAGCUUGAUAUAUAUACAAAAUUGUUAACUAAUUAGAAGAAUGAAAAAAAUAAACUUGCUGAGUCAUCAAAGUCAGUUACCUAAAUCACUAAUCAUAAAUAACCUGUAUAUUCCAAUUAAUAGCUCCCCUGGCCCAGCUUCGACAAUGAAUUGCAAAAUACUGAAGUAGCGAUGGGCUUCACCAAGAAAUUUGCCAAUUGACAAGCAGAAGAGACAUGAAGUAAAUGAAUGAUACCAACCUGCAAUUUCUUAUGCACUAAAUAAUAAUCAAGCUCAAUAUGCUUGGUUCACUUAUGAAAUAUAAGGUUUUAUGCAAUUUGAAUAACAGAUUGAUUAUCACAGUAAAUAGCAAUUAGUUUUGAAUCACAAUUCCUGCAGUAAAAAUAAGAGCCAUUGAACUUCAAAAGUGAUAGAAGCCAAUGCCCUGUAUUUAGCUUUAUAGUAGGAUAUGGAAAUAGUAUGUUGUUUCUUAGAUUUUUAAAAAAUUAAAAAAUUACCAAGGAAGGUGCAAAAAAUCAAUGAUCGAACGUCUAUUAUCUGGACAUGUGGCCCAAGCAAAAUCACUAAAAGCCUUGAGAGUAAGAUCACUCGCAAAAGAAAAGCACAUACCUUAUCUUGGACAAGCCUUGACUUAUUCGAGUACUAUGUGAGCUGUAAGAUGAGCCUUUGAAAGAGUUUCAAGGAAUUGGGACAAUUGAUGCACAACAAAACUAAUAUCAGGUCAUGUUGUAGUAAGAUACAGCAAACGACCAACCGACCUCCUAUAAAAAAUGCUAUCAGGAAGUAAAGAACUACUAGAUUUAUAAAGUUUAGUUAUAGGCGCUAUUAGAGGAGGUGCUAACUUGCUAUCCAAAAUAGUAUUCCCGAGAAUGUCAAGUGCAUAUUUGCAUUGAUACAAAGUGAUACCUUUACUGAUUCGAGCAACUUUAAGUCCUAGAAAGUCUUUUAAAGAACCGAGGUCUUUAAACUUGAAAUUAUGAACAUAAUGUUUAACCUAUUGUAUUUGGGACAUUUGGUUACUAGCUGAAAUCACAUCAUCAACAUAAAUCAAAAAAGCUGUAAAGAAAUCACUAGUAGACUUAGUGAAUAAAAAAGGAUCAAUUGCUGCCUGAUGAGAACCUAGUUGGAGAAGAGCACUAGUAAAUUUAGCAUUUCAUUGUCUGCUGGCUUGCUUGAGACCAUAUACAUAUAUGGACUUAUUCAGCUUGCACACAGGAUUAGGACUGUUAGUAACAAAACUAGGUGGAAUCUACAUACACACUUCCUCUUAUAAAUCACCAUGAAGGAAGGCAUUAUUUAUGUUUAGUUUAUGCAAAAACCACCAUUUUGUUGAAGCAAGUGCUAAUAGAGUACAAACUGUGGUCAUCUUGGCCACUAGUGAGAAUGUGUCCAAGAAAUCAACUAUUGAUUGCUUGGUGUAUCCCUUUGCAAUUGUCUAGCUUUAUGGCAUUUGAUAAAGCCAUUAGGCUUGUAUAUCAAUUUGAAACCCAUUUAUAACCAAUCAAUCCUUGUUAGUAGAAAGUGAAAUAAUGUCCCAAGUGCAAAGCUAUGUAUUUACAUCACUAGAUAUUAUAGCAAGAUCAGAAGAAUCACAGGCUGGUAAGACAAUAGAAUCAUCAUCAGAAGAAAGAAUAGUAAAAGAAAAAACAAACUUAGAAAAGACUACAUUUCUAGAACUAGAAUUUGAUGAGAUUUUAAAUUAUAGACUCUAUAACCUUUGAUACCAAAAUAUAAACCAAUGAAAAUGCAUGUGUUAGCUCUUGAGUCAAACUUACUUUUAGAAUGGUCAAGAGUAGAGAAAAAGCAAAUACAACCAAAAAACCUUGAGAUGAGUAAAACUAGGUAAUUUGUUGUAAAGAUUUUCAAAAUGAGUUUUAUUAUUAAUAACAAAAGGUGAGAGAUGAUUGUAUAACAUAUGAAACAUAAGAAAUGUAUUCUGACUAUAAUCUAAUAGGCAAAUUAGCUUGAACUUUUAGAGCCCUAGCUGCAUUAAGGAUACGUUGAUAUUUUCUUUCCACUAAACUAUUUUUGUUGAGAUGUGUAAACAAGACCUUUGAUGAAAAAUACCUUUGGAAUUAAAGAAAGAAUGCAUUUUGAACUUUAUAGCAUUAUCAGUUCCGAUGGAUUUGAUUUUGGUGGAAAACUGUGUUUCGGCUAAGGAAUAAAAGUACUAAACUAAAGUCCUUAUUUCAGCCGUUGGUUUCAUCAAGAAAAAAUCUAGGUAUACCUAUUAUGAUCAUCCACUACAUCAAGGAAAUAAUAAUAACUACAAAGGGAUGGGGAUGAGAAAGGACUUUAAGCAUCUAUAUGUAUAAGACCAAAACAAUUAUCAAUAUCUGAAUUACUAAAAGAAAAUGAUAGUUUCUUUUGUUUAGCAAGUUGAACUAAUAUUUAUAAUUGAUUUAGAGAAAACAAAAGAAUUGAAAACACUAGAGUUAUGAAUAAUAAAGUGAUAUAAUAAUUCCUUUGUCCAGCUAGUCCAAUCAUCUUCGAACAAUGAAUGUCCAACAUAAGGGAAAUAUUAUACUUAAAAAUCAAGCAAUAUGGUAAUAUGGAGGUUAGUAUACUAGCAGAAAUAAGAUUGAAAGAAAAAGCAUGAAUAUAUAAGAUAUUUGUAAAAAGUAAAUUGUCUGAACACAUGAUUGUCCUACCCACCUCGAACGGGCCAAAAGCGUUCAAUCCAAAUGUCUAGCGUUGAAGAGAGGAAGGUCAAACAUAAAAAUGGGACAAAAAACUAACAAAAUGAAGGAUCAAAAGCGCAUUUCUAGGUCAAGUAGCAGAACUUGCUUAUAGAAUCACAAGCCUCUUAUGUGGUUCCACAAGGCUAGUACGCGGCUAGCUUGUAGAAUUGCAUGGACAAUGUGGCUACACAAGCUAGUCGCGCACUAGCCUUGUACAGCCGCACAAGGGCCUUGCGGUGUUGCAGUACUGUUAUGAGCUCGGAUGACAGUUUCGUGCAGAAUUUAUUUUAUCUCACAUCUAAAAACUUAAGAGGUUUUGCACACUUUCCAACUAAUGCUAUAAAAGGACAAGUGGAGAAGUUUCUAAACCAAUCAACUUCCAUCAACAACAACCUAUUCAUCAUCAACAACAAUCAAUCAUCACUAAAUUCUUCAUCAAGUGAUGUCAAGUAAAGAAGAUUCAGUGUUUUUCUUUCUUGUGUAAGCCCAAGAAGCUUAUAUUUUGGAAAUUUAGAAAAAGUAUUCUCUGCACUUGCCAAUAGUUUGGAUCUUAUACAUCAAAAAACCUAGCUUCUCUAAAGUAUAAUUUUGGAGGACAUCAAACACACUCUUUUUUUUUCUUUAAACACUGUAAUAGUGGAGACUAGGUCGAGACACAGCAUCCCUUUUAUUCCACCAAGGAAGGUAAUGUAUCUCUAUACUUGUAAUUCACUCUUUCUUUAAUAAAGCAUAUAAUUUGUUUCAUUCAUGUCUUAUAACAUUCAUGCAAAAGUGUAUAUUUCAUAGCAAAUAACCAUAAAAUUAUAGUUUUCGCAAUCCUAUUCUAAAUCAUUUAUGUUACUUAUUUCAAAACCUAGCCCUUGAACCUUCCUCGGUUUCAAUGCUAGUGCUUUUAUCUGAGCAAUAAUAUAUAAAUAGAAUCAAAAUUAGGUUUCUCCUUACUUUUCUAAAAAAUAUAAGGCGACAACUCUAAAAUCUAAAACGAAUUUACCAUUAUGCCAAGGCACGAGAUGGUAGGUCAUCUCCUUGGUGAAGCUGCAGCCUAGGUCGAGCAUUUUGGGCCCACAUCCAAGCAUCGCUCAAGCGAUGCCUCAAAAGUUAGUAUUAGUUAAAUCAUUUAUUCAUAUGAGACUUAUACUUGUGUACCAUUUAGGAGUUUGACAAAGAUGUGAGUGACUGAGGUAAAGGAUUAAAGAAGAUAAAGUUAGUAGGUUUUAUGAUUUGUAGCACCAAUAUCAAGUAUCAAAGUGCUAAUAGAAUCGUUGAAUGAGGUUGCACAACUAGAACAAGAGAAUAUACCUGAAUUUGGAGUAAGUACAAAGCUAGCGACAAAAACAUUUACUUGAGAACUGUUAUUGGCAGUCGCAACAAACAGUGAUGGAGAAUUAUAUUAAAUCAAAGCAAAUAAUUUUAUAUACUAAUUGUUUGAAUGAAGGAGAUGUAGGAUGAGACACAAUUAUUUGUAUGUGCAGAAUGAACUGGAGUCUUCCAUGUAAUGAGAAAUAGAACCAACAUUGUACUAUUCAAGGUCGAGACUAUAGCCUUCAACUUGAUUAGCCAAUCCAAUGAUCUAUUUACCUUUUUCUUUGUAAUUAGUAAAACCAAAAGGAUAACUGUGUCUUUUAUAACACUUAUCAAUAAUAUGAAUUAAGUAAACGCAGUAUGAGCAUAACAGACGUUUGCUAGAAAAAUUAGAAUAGGUACUACCAAAAUUAUUCCGCUUUUGUGCAUCUGAAUUACUAGUAAUUCUAUUAUAAUACAUGAUAUUAACCUUUGUAGUUGGCUUAUAACUAGGUGCAUUAGCAGUAGCGAUUCCAACUUGUCAUUCAUGUUGAUUAACUAAAGAGAAAACCUUGUCAAUAGGAAGUAAUAGUCCUAUCAACAAGAUUUAAGACUUAGCAGUAUAAAAAGUCUCAUUCAGUCCUUAAAAAAUUGAAUAGCAUGAUCAUUUUGCAUAGAAUCCUGUACUUGGUUAAUAGCUAAUAGUCACAACGAGGUUCACAAGGACAAUUGGGGAUUAGACCUGCAAUUCAUAAGUUCAUCCUACAUAUUCUUAACUGAGUGAAAUACUUUAUAACUGUGAAAGAACCUUGUUUGAAGGAAUAUAUUUCUUCUUAUAGAUCAUCAAUGCGCAUGGGAUAACUCUAUGAGAAUAAUCCUUCAGAUCUUUCCAUACAUCCAUGGUGGAAUCAAGAAAUAUAAUACUUUGUACAAGAGAAGGUGUUAAAAGCUUAAUAAUAUAAGAAAGAACCAUAUGGCGUUACACCUUUCUUAUACUAGAAAGGGACGAGCAUACUUGUUUGGCAUCUUAAUGGAUUCAUUAACAAACUUAAGUUUAUUCUUCAAAAGUAAAGCUAGUUUCAUGACUCUUGACCAUGGAUAAUAGUUCAUACCAUACAGUAAAGAAGAAAUAAAAAUCAAUGAAGAAUUUUUAUUUGGAUGUAAAUGACAAUAUGGUAAGUCCUCAGCUUCAGCUUGAUUUGCUAUUAGGAAAAACAAAAAGAAAGCAAAGAAAAUCUCAUUUGGAUGCUGAGAAAAAAGGAAAAAUAAAUCACAAAUCUAUAACUGAAAAAAUUAUAGUAUUAAAAACUAAAGAUAUUUAUGAUGAUCAAUAAACUUUAAGGAUUAAAAUAUAUAAAUAGUUUAUAGAGCUAACAAAUAUCAAAAGAUGGUUUUUAUUAUUUAUUAUUUAAGAAAAUGAGAAGAAACAUAAGAAGAGAAUGCUCUGGUACCGUAUCAAAUUUUAAAGAAAAGUCUCGAGAGAUGAAUUUCAUUCAAGAAAAAACAUAAUAACAAAACUAGUUCUAUAUACAAAUAUGUUAAUUAGCUAAAAAAAAAAAGAGAAGAAUAGACUACUAAUACUAUGCAAGAUAUUUACGAGUGGUAAAUAGUUAUCUCAAAAGAUUAAAGCAGCUAUAUAUUUAAAAUUUAAAUUCUAAUCUUAAUUUAAAUUAGAAAAUAUUUUUAUUAUUUUAUCUGCUCGUUUUUAGAUUUUUUUUUAAUUAUUAAUAGGAGAAUCAAAGGAAAUAAAAAAAAUGAAAUACCCUUAAUUGUAGUAUCUAUUAUGCUAAUGCGAACUGGUGUACUAUCUUAGUGAUAAAGUGAUGUGGGGCAGAAUAUUAAUUAAUAUUAUUUGGUCAACUAAUAUUAGUUAAUAUGUUUAUGCGUUCGUAGAGAAAUAGUAACGGAAAAUUAUAGUAAUGUACUUUUUGUAAUUUUGACCCGUUU